rnacentral:lncRNA from 1 species
GCAGAGCUAUAUGAAAGUAAGUAGUAAACUACCAUAAUCGCGAGUCGUUUUUCUUUCUUACGUAGAAAGUACUUUACUUUAUUUCUAAGAAAGGAUUUCUCCAGCCUAUUCUACGUUCAAAAAUUUUUAAUUGUGGUAAAUCUUGCUUUCUUCUGGCUACUAGUGGGAAUUUUCUCUCAACUACGUCGACCCUCCUUUUUUAUUUGUCUUACCCAUUCAGGAACUGCCGCGUGAGCAGGUUCUUGUAUCAUAGCUUGAGUUAUUCCCGAAGGGCCUUCUAACCUGCGGCUUUCCUGAGGUUUAAAACAGGGCUGUCAAUUAACUUUUUGCUUAUUGCUCCCGAAUAGAAUAUUCCAUAUUACCUCUUUCUUCUUUGUUUUUUGUUGGUUUUGCGAAAUCAGUGCCCGCUUUUAACGUUAACGGGAAAGGGAAAGGCUUGACAAAUUUUUUCUUUUACUGCUGUACGGCCAAGGCGGAUGUACGGUACAGCAGAAUGGAACUCUUGGAUUUUGCCCCGGGCUACCUCACCUACGGCGACCCUUCGCCCGCCCGCCGCCAGUGGGAAGCAAGCUAGCCCCCUAUGUUGGUUGGGGGAAGAGGGCAUUUCCAUCGCGAAGGAUUCAAUCCAGCCACAGGUUCCCCUACGGCUACCUUGUUACGACUUCACCCCAGUCGAAGACCCCACCGUGGUAUGCGCCAAUAAGACCACCAAAAGCCUUUGUGGCACUAGUGGUACACAGAAGUCAUGGGUGAUCAUUGGUCCGAUCUGCUGUACGGCCAAGGCGGAUGUACGGUACAGCAGUUUAAGUCCGUCAGCUGAUAAACUAGAGAGACCUCAAAUGCUUUAUUUUAAAGCCUGCCUCGGCUACUACCAAGAAAUUCCCUCGAUCCCCAAGUCACGUCACUAACUUUCUGUUGAUCGCGUAGCUACUUAGUUCAUGUAUGCCACAGCAGCGGAAGGUAGCCUGAAGAAGAAAAAACCUCUCUCUCUUUCUUGCUCAGUAACCACCUGGGCACUUUUGUGCUGAGCCAUGACAUCCUGAGAUGGCCUGUUGUGUAAGCCUUCUUCAAAAGGUCAUCUGUCGAUCUUUCUCCUAAUUAGACAUCCAAAACCCUGCAUGGAAUCCAUUUGAGAAGGUGGACAAUAGACAAACUCCAACGCAUACAGACAGUAAAGAAGAAUUUAGACGGCAAUCACUGUGGCUGAAUAAAUGGGCCUAUUAAGCCUAUUAAAAGUUGGAACCAUAUUCACCACUCGCGGUUCCUUAGAGAACUAUAUCAGAAUUCUGUAAAUUUCAAACUAUUCUUACAUAUUUAACUGUAAAACAAGAGAAAUUGUACUUCCGUAGCAAAGUCUCACUAUUGGUAAGUAUCUGGACUUGGAAAGGAUGCUAGUUGAUUAAGUAAAGGAAAAUUGAAAUCAGACUUUGAGGUGAUAGAUCUAUAUACACUUUAAUCGGAACCACAUUAACAUCAUAUGAGCCAAACAAACAAAUUCCCCAGUCAAAGUUCAACAAACAAAACAUUAAAACAAGAGUAAUUUGGUGUAUCAAUGUAUAUAUAGAGAUGUCGAUCAUUGACAAAUACGUAAAAGAGGGAGGGAGAGACCUCAAAGCCGUGCUUAACAACAUUGCUACUCCAAUAACUUCAAAAUGGUUGGCGACGUCUCUAUCAAAUCCACACAAUAGCUGAUAUCUCAUGUUUGCAUGUAGUCCAAUGAAAGCACCAUAACCAAGCACAUUAGUACUCACAGGUGGGUUUGUCACAGAUAACCUGUCGGGCAUUAAAAAUUGCCCAAAUUAAACAAAUGUUAGACCGGCUUAGACAGUAAACGGAACAAUAUUCUAAUUUUACUUUAUUUAUAACGAAUAAGAGAACAAAGGAAUGAAAGGGAAGUUUGGCAACAGUCUUUUUACCAGCCAGAUAGUUUGACAAAGAAUCUUGCACUGCUCUGCAGCUAAUCCCACCAUACACAACUCUGCAGUCUUGUUUGGGAGUCAAAAUUCUCAAAAUGGGUAACUCUGUUCAAAUAUACUGUUUGGGAGCUUUUGUAAUGUAUUUUGCAAGUCAAACAGGAAGGUAUUUACAUAAGAAGGUUCACUUCACAUGCUCAACAAUUCAAAUAUGCGGAUGAUAUUUCUCAAAAUGGAGGGCUCUAUUUGGCUUGCCAACAAUCUUCCUCACCGCUAUCAUCCUUGCUAUACCGGUUAAACUGAACAGUCUUCAUUCUGACAUUUGCCCUAUUAACCUGAGUACACAAGAAUCCGAAACAACUGUUAGAAAUUAUAAUCUUUAUAUAUAGCCAAAAUGUUGAAUAACAUGAUGUACUUGAUAAUAAAUACCUGAGUUAAUAAAUAAUUAAGGGGCCGGUAACAAUGUCAGCAUCUUAUCAAGUGGGGAAAGCCUACGCAACGAAGACGCUGCUUGCUUUCAAGAAAUAAUAACUUUCCAAUUCCAUAAGGUAGGUUAAAUAUCUCCACCAGCCUAACAAUUAUUCAUGGAAAUGUGUGAGUGUGAAUUCGAACGAAUUAAUCAAAUAUGAUGACACGAGAAACAAAAUUAAAAUAUGAUAAUCGAAACAUUGGCAGUGGUUCUAAGGAACUUGAAAAUUAGAAAAGUUUCAAAAUGAGUGACUAAAUAUGAUAAUCGAAACUAAUUAAAUAUACACGCCUUGUAAAUAUGAAACUAAAUUACUCAAAUGUAUGUGCCUCUUCGCAGCAAUUGCUCGUGGUGGAAACUUUACUGCAAAGACUUCCUCAAACCCUUGAAGAUCACACUCUUCCUGGCAACAAAGAAACAGAGUCGAUAUACUAACAAGUGAGAGCUUGCAAAUAUUGGAAGGAUAAUGAUUGCUCAUAACCCAAAUCCCCAAUACCCUCUAAUAUCUCACUCGAGUGAGUUCAAGCCCCCAAAAUUCACUACAGUGAAACUCUCAAAACAAAAUUCUCUUCAAAUAUUCUCAACUCAAAUUUGAUGAUGAUAUCUCUCGAAGGAAGGCAAAAAAUCUAACACUAAUCAAAUUGGCUUGUGAACAAUUAAUGUUCCUGGCCAUCAUUCAUACUAGGUGUCGCGAACAAUUAAGCUGCUUAGUAUCCUGAACCUGAUAACUUACACAAACAAAAACAACUUGCCUAAAGUUUAAUAUUUAGAGGCAGAACAGUAAAGAAGAAGAUAUAUAUUGAUACUAAAAUUUGGCCUGCGUUACCCUGAUGUCAAGAAUAGCGGGAUCUCAUGUGGGCAAAAUCUUCGCAAUACGAGAUGCUUGCAAAAUUGAAGCAGCAUCUUAUCACCUGUAAUUUAAUUAAGAUAAUAACUUUCCCCGACUAUUUCAAUGCAUUAUUGGCAACUAAAUUCAGAGGGCGCUAAUUAAAUACCCUUUUAACAAUAUCUUCUUAUUCUUCUCUAAUCUAGCAGUUAUUUGGAAAAUCUAAAUGACAGUCAUGCAUCAAUGGCGUCAAAAUUUGGCUACAAAGCAGCCUAGAAAAGGCUUCACCCUCAGAAUGAGAGCAUGAAUUCGAAUAAUAUGAUGAAUGAAGAAACAAAGGCAUAAUACCACAAGAAGUCAAACUUUUCCCCAGAGCUCUGUUUCUGUUUGUGCUAAAGCAAAUGGAAACCAGUGGAAAUGAAUUUCUACGAACUAGACAUAUCAGCCAAAACAGGUACUCUGUACAAGCAAAGUAAAAGAGAGUUACAACAAAAUUUAAGAUUGAUAUGAUAAUUAAAAUUUCAGUCACCAUAUAAUUAAUAGAAAACUUUGUACACAAUGAUUUAUUGCAUAUUAAGAUUGGAUAGCUAAAUUUUAAUUGCUAUACAAAAUAUGAUAUUAGCAUUAGGAGACCGCACCAAAACGUACCGAAUUGAAUGUGCCUUUUCACAGCCAUUGUACAAGCUUUGAAGCUUUAGCACAAAUGCUUUUUCAAACCCAUGAACAUGAUGCACCCGAGAGAUGCAAGAUAUGAAAUUGUUACUACAACAGGCAUUGAAACAUUUGUUAAGAAAGGAAGUUUAUGAAAAUACGCCUUAACAAUCAUUAGAUACUCGUCUUCAGGAAUCAAUUCCUCUGUAAUAACAAUUUUCAAAAAGCAUCAACUGCUUUAAGCUCCUCAACAUCACAUAGAUCUUCAAUUAAAAUAGGGCAGAUCCGGCCAAUGUUACUACAGCCAGCAUUGAAACAUUUGUUAAGAAAGGAACUUUAAGAAAAUAAGCCUUAACAAUCAUUAGCUACUCGUCUUCAGGAAUGAAUUCAUCUGUAAUAACAAUUUUCAAAAAGCAUCAACUACUUUAAGCUCGUCAACAUCACAGAGAUCUUCAAUUAAAAUAGAGCAGAUCCGGUCAUCACUAUUCCUUCUACUGCUCGUUCGUUUUAGAGAACGCUUGAAUUACAGAAUGCGUGUAAGGCUUUCUUGUUCAAGGUCCAGUGAUCAAACCUUGCACAAUAACAGCAGAGGCAUCAGUUCCAUCACCAGUCUAAUCCUUUGUCUCACCAAUGUUCUCCACAGAGUACUCGAAAUCAACCUAAAAAAUAAGAAUGAGUUGGAAAAACUGUUUAUGGCCCUAAAGAACUUGAAAAUCAGAAAAGAUUAAGAAUGAGUGACUAAACAUUUUAAUCUCAACUAAACAUACAAACCUUGAAAAUCUAAUAUUGAAGUACUAUGAAUGUAUGUGCAAUUGCACAAGGUGGUGAUGACUAACUUUACUGCGAAAGCUCUUACAAACCCUUGAAAAUGAUACUCUAUAUACCAUGAUAACCUGAUAACACAAAGAAACACAAUGAAUAUUAAAGGAUAUUCUGACAACGCAAAUUUGUGUAAAUUAUCAAGUGUGGUUACCUGCAUAAUAGUUUCAGCACCAAAUUCCUGCCUCCAUUGACACAAGUGAUAAUAUUAGCACAAUUCAAUAUGUUUAUAUAGGAUAAAUGAUUCCAAGAAUGAAGCAAGAUAGAAAUGAUGAUCUUAGCACCUAAACAUCAUGCAAUAAUAAUCAUCAUGUCUUUCAGGCAGCUAUCCAUCCUCAAUUGAAACAGAGCAGACCCGGCCAUCACUUCCUUCUUCAAAGUCCAGCAACCAAACGUUGCACAAUAACCACAGUAAUAAUCCUUGGUUACUCCAAUGUUCUCCAUAAGAGUCUUCAACGUCAACCUAAAAAUGAAGUAAAAAUGCAAUGCAGGUGGAAAUGAAAAUUCUAUAAAUUAAAUAAAAUAAAAAUGCAAUGCUUGAGCUUGCUUUAACAUCAUCAUAAUAGCGAAUUUUGAUAUAUCUUUACUUCUCUGCGUUUCAAUUAUUUACUUCUAUGUUCUUGUUUAUUCACAACAAGAUAUCAAUAGAAGAAGAUGGAAAUGAAAUUCUAUUAAACAAGGCAAGUGAAUUACCAGCAGAACAUUUUAGUAAUCUUUUGGCUAAACUUUUCAUUUUCUUAGUCUUGCUCUCCUACCUGCAUCAUUAAAACUAAAACAAGAUAUCAAUAGAACAAGAUGGAAAUGAAAUUCUAUUAAACAAGGCAAUUGAAUUACCAGCAGAACAUUUUAGUAAUCUUUUGGCUAAACUUUUCAUUUUCUUAGUCUUGCUCUCCUACCUGCAUCAUUAAAACUAAAUUAGCUUGGACCUGUGAAUUCUUAGUGUAGUUCUGACAUUUCCUCGAAUCCCUGGCGAACAUAAUUAAACUCGUAUGAAAUAAAACAAAGUACUACAAAAAACAAUUACACAAUUACUUUAAAGAAUUAAUGUCACAUAAAUUAUAUAUAAAAAAACACGAUUAUCAUUAUACAAGAUAAAAUUGAUAAUUUAGUUUUCAACAUUACUGCAAAUGCAUCACAGAGAUUUUGUCUCUCAGGAAGUUACACAUAACAAAUUUUCGUGCAUUAAAAAAUAAAAUACGUUAGGUUUUCUAUGAUGUUGUAUGAAAUUUUACAAAAGACUACAUGUUUUUUAAAAGAAAAUAUAGAAAUUUCAACAGACUAUACUUUUUUUUAAUUAUUUAGCUUUGAUAAAACAAGUUUAAUAGAUUUAAUAACUAGGAAGUUUAAAUUUUAAAUAAUUGAAUUUAAAAUAUUAUCCUAAUUAACUUUUAACUUCAUGAACCAUUGAUUAAAUCUAACAGUACAUAUUUAUACCAUGAUUGAUUCUAUAAUUUUUAUAACAACAUCAUAGAGUGACCCAUUAAAUUAAUGGUUGAAGUAAAACAGAGGAGAGAAAUUACCGGCGGGUGAUAGUAAUUGCAACCAUUCGAGAAUUUACCGGCGAGUGAAAUUUCAACCAUUCGAGGAGAGAAAUAAUAAUAAUAUAGAAUUUUAAUUCAAAAUAUAAUUAUUUUCAUUAAUUUCAUUACAAGCAAUAACGAAGUAAAUCAGAGGAGGAGGAAUUACCGGCGAUUGAUAUCUUACGGCGACCACUUGAUGUGGGGAAUGUGAGAAAUCUUAUGCCAGUCUUCUCCUUUCCCCUCUCUGUAACGUUCUUCUAGAAUAGGGCAGUCCUCAAUCCUCAAUUCCUGCAGUGUCGUUGUUUGAAGAAUGUAAUCCGGCAGCACCUUUAAUUUGGGGCAAUCACAAAUCGACAAGGCAGAAAGACGUGGCAUGAUGGAGAUGUUUCCCUUUCUUGUAAUCCUGUAAUUCCACUUUUCCAAUUCUUCCAUUCCCCAAAUUUCGAGAUAUUUCAAUUUGGGGAAGGCAAUAACUGAUGAUGACGAUGAAGAUGAAGAUGGAUCAUCCUCAGUGCUUUCUUCUAUUCCCAAAAACUCAUUUCCCACUCUUUUUACACUUUUCAAGUCGCGUAGUUCGAGUUUUUCCAGAGGCAAUUUUCCCAGUGGAGGCAAAUGCUCACAGUUAAAACACGAGGAAAGAUAUAAAUUCCUUAGAUUGGUUAGUGAAGUCAACCAUUUGGGAAAAAUGUUGCCUCCGUAGAAUAUAAUCCUUAACUCCUCUACAUUCAAAGGUGGUUGUAAGGCUUCAAGAAGUUGUUUAUCUUUCUCAUUCUUCCUCCUCCCUUCUUCGCCUUCCCCAUCUACGGCUCUACCAAACUCAAGAUACAAACGAAGGAGGUUUUUCUUAUUGUAAAGUUGUAACCUCUCAGCCUCAUCUACAUGCGAUACAUUACUCAGCCCUUCUACUCUCUGACACAAAACGUCGAAUGAUAUAAAAUGUUGAGAACUAAUAAUAGUUUAGUGUUUGGUUUAAGUUUCAUGAAUUUUGUGCCAAAUAUGACGUUGUAAGGUACAAGAAUGUCAGGCGUACUUCGCCGAAGAAUGGAUUAGGAGGGACGACGGAUAGGAACUUGAUUUACAAACUCAAAGCUACCAAAGUCUCUUCGGCGGGGAAGUUUUACAACAUUUUGUGCAGUGAGCUAGUCGAUAGACCCAAUAGGAUAAUGAUUGAUAAAAAGAAAUAAAAUUAAUGUUUAUACCUAGAUUGAGAUAUAAAUUUAUUAUCCAACUUAUGUAUUAUAUAGAGAGAGAAAUGUCGGGUUAGCCGACAUCGAUUGUGGAAGAGGCUGAUAAUGACCUUAUAAAUGUGAGGGAAUAUCUCUCUCUUUGAGCUAGCUUUUGAAGUUGAGAGAAGCCCAAGACCAUCUAACAUUAGUAUCAAAGCUCAGGUUCACCAACAACUCAACCAACAAUCUAAUAGGGAGAAUGGAUGUUUAUGCUUCCAACCCAAGGCCCAAUGAGUGAGGAGAGAUUGUUGGGAUUAUCCCACAUUGGUUGUGGGAGGAGCUCGUGGUGAUUUCAUAAGUGUGAGAAAAAAAUCUCACUUAUUGAGCUAGCUUUUGACUUUUGAGGUUGAGAUAAGCCCAAGACCACCUCACACAAAUAUUCUCUAAUCACUUAAUGUUUUAGACUUUAUAAAAAAUACACGACCACAUUUUUUUUAUAACAAUUCCACCUGAUGUUUACAAAAUGUAUCAUUUCUACACUAUUGUCAUCACGCCGUUAGAAUUUUACUCAUGUCAGAAUGAUAAACUUGUCAUUGGACUCUUAACGGACAAAAACGACGUCGUAUUUAAGGAAGAAUUAUAUAAUCCCAUCUGCUUGAAACUUUCUACAAUGACAAGACAUAACUAGUAACGGACAACCUGCUGUGCCAGUCAUUUUUCUCCUUCGAUUGGGAUCGUCGAUUUCUUUACUAAAAUCAACGAGUGAAUGAUUAUCAGCAUCAGGAGCCAAAGAAGGCAAACCGCCACAUUUGUUUUCGAUGUGGUCCUAUAAUUUAUUGAAAAAUCCAACGAUUGCCCCAAAAUAACAAAGUUAGUGAGCUAAAAUAACGCAACGUACAACACAGUAUCAAACUACCACCAAAUUUUAUCAGUUAACCAAUAAACUAAAAAAUUCAAGGUUUAAAAAAAAUUUGAAAUUUUAAAAUUCUUAAACGACUUGAUAAUAACUGCUGUACGGCCAAGGCGGAUGUACGGUACAGCAGAUUAACUUCCCAAUCCCCGCAGGCAAUUCUCUAAGAUUUACGCAACCCCUAAUAUCUAGCUUUUGUAAAUUAUAUAAUUCACACAAAGUCUCAGGCAGUCUCUCUAUACAUAAUUUAGACAAAUUAAGAUAUUUUAAAUGUAUCAAUUUUCCAACAUUUUCUGGAAUUUCUGUAAUCGAAUAUUGGUAAGGAUGAGAAAAUGGGGACGAUUGCCUUAUCCCUAUAACUAAUGCCCUUAAACCCGCCAAUUUACUAAAUAACCCUGGAAGGAUGCUACUAUGAAGAGACGAAGAGUAAGGACUUUUAUCAUAAAUUAAGAUGGUCCGCAAUCUAUUAAGUCCAUGAAUGGACAUAGGAAGUGGAGCGCCUCCUUUAAAAUUGAAUCCUAAAUUUAAUCCUAGGUGACGGACUUUGUCACCAAAAGAAUUUAUGACUGAUUCUUUGUUACCAUCAAUUUCUAGCCACAAACAUUCUUUUCUACUUACAAAUUGGGCAAAAUCAUGUACUAUGUCAUGCAUCUUACACCUCAUAAAAUCAUCAUCAUCCUCAUCUUUUUCAAUCUCUUGAAAGAAAGAGCGUGUUGCCAAGAUGUUGAAAUACUCUUCUCCAAUCAUCUCCAUUUCUUCGUCUUCUUCUGCGUUAAAGUAACCUUGAGCCAUCCACAGACUAAUCAAUUCUUCUUUAUUCAUACUGUAGUCUUUUGGAAAGACAGCACAAUAUGAGAAGCACCGUUUUACCAUAGAAUUGGAGGGCAAAUCGUUAUAACUCAACAACAAAGGAGCCAAAAGACCUUGCCCAAUCUCUUCUAAUUUCCACAUUUCACUAUCUAAAAUUCUUUGCCACUCUUUUACUGUAAUUUUAGAGCGCAAGAGAUUCCCUAUUACCUUUGCAGCAAGAGGCAGGCCUUUGCACUUGCGUGCAAUUUUUCGCCCGAUUGGUUCUAAUCUUUCACAAUCCUCGAAACAGCGACCGAAAAAUGCUAACUGCUUGAAAAACAACCAGCAUUCCUCUUCAGCCAGUUGUUCAAUGGAGAUAGUAUCUGACUCUGUUGUUCCCAUCAUACGUGCAAUUGACUCAUUACGUGUGGUUACCAAAAUUUUACUUCCGUGGAGACCAUUCUUUAGACAAAAGAAGAAUGGAUCCCAUUUAUUGGAAUCCCCAUCCCAUACAUCAUCUAAGACAAGAAAAAUUUUUUUUCCUCCAAUUGAUCUAUGGAUAUGGCUCAUAAGAGAUUGGAAUUCGCUUAAACCAGAAGCUUCUUUUGACUCGCCUAGACCAGGUGGUUCGCACUCGCUCUGGUUUCUUAACAUUGUUACUCACAUUCUCAACAAAUUUGAAACUAUCUUUUUGUCUGGCAAUAACAUCUAGCUUUUCACUGAUUUCUCUAAUCUUGACAGCAAUAUCAUGACGAAGACUGAGUUGUUUGAAAUCACCAAAGCAGUUUGAGGCAGCAGGAAGGAAGGAACAUACCUUCGUCAAAAGAGUAACAAAAGCAUUGUCGUUAUCAUCAUCAUCAUCAUCGCCGCCCUCAUCAAGCUGCAAUUUCCGUGUUUCAGUGAUCCACUCUUCCAACACAUCUUCCAUGUCGUAGGAUGCGUCUCUGAGCCUAUCCAGCCAAAGAGUAACAGCUUUGUCCUGCUUCAUUUGCCUCUGCUCUGCAUCUUCCAGCACAGCUUGAAUGGCUUGAAGAUUGGCGGUAAGCUUACCCACUUGUUGUUCGACACCCGUCACAAGCCUCCACUUUUCUUUCACCUGAUCUUGAGCAAUGGAUUUCAGCUGGUCCAGGAGAGAGGAAACGAUCGCAUGAGCCAUUCUGAUAUUAGAUCAAAUGGUAAAUGCUGCAAUUGCUUUUCUUGCUGUUAAAAUGCUCAGAGGAAAGUAGCUUUUAUGUAUUCUGAGAGAAUGUUCAUUCAAGCAUGUUUGGAUUCUUCUUAUACUAAUUGGAGAUAUUUAAUUUUUACCCUCAAGUCAAUGUCAAUGUGAACGUUCUUUUGUGCUGCAAAUUGAAGGAGUCCCCACAGGAGUCACCGUCUGGGGCUAGCUUUCUGAUCCCACCACCUCAAUAAUUGCACAGCAUCUGCCCUGUUUCUCUGAUUCAUAAUAAUUCAUUGUUAAUUCUGCAGAGUACACAGCAUCAGCACUUGUGAAAUUUCUUAGUUACUUGCUGCUCUUAAGAUAAUUAGUAACAAAAUAUUUGUAAACUGCAACAAAAAGCUCAAUGCAAUCUAUCUAUGAAUCUUGUGAAUUCACAUAUAAUACAGUCGAUUUAAAAUAGUCAUAAAAAUUUUUUAUUAUAAAUAUUAGUAUAUUUUUAACGGUAUAAUAAAUAUCGAUGAAACUACACAGAGUAAUUUCGCCUAAUUGUAUAAAUUCAUUAUGAAUAUCAUCACAAAUUUGUAUUUGGUCGGGACCGUGCGAGUGAAAUUUUUGAUAAAAUCAUCUCCUGACAAUUUAUUUAUUAUAUGUUUCAAUUUAGCUUUAACGUAUGGAUCCAAUUUCUCAUCUAUAUGGCCAUUUGGUCAUUUGAAAAAGUUGUGAUUCCGUUUUAGUCCAUUAUGUCACGACAAAAAGAGAAUUGUUAAAUAUAACAUUCUCAAAUUAUUUUGUGGUGGUCGGGGCCCAUGCCCGUGGAAAAGAGAAAAAAUAAAACAAAAGUUGGAAAAAUCAUGCAGCCGACCCUUUUUUCUAUCUGAUUGCGCAAUAUUAGGUAUAAUACAGAGAAUUAUUGCAAUUUUUUUGGAGUGUGGCCCCAAUUUGAAAUAGAAAUAUUGUCUAAUUGCUCUUCAGAUUUGAAAAGUGCAGGCGUCGAACAGCUACUUGUCUUCAAUAAUUCAUAAGAUGAAAGGGAUGAUUACUGUCUUCGCCGGCCUGCCAAUGAGAUAGAUGAAAGUCAUCUUGCAAAAAAUUAAAAUAUUGAAUUCCCCCAAUUGGAAUUGGGGCCAUGUAUGGUGUAUAAAAUAGCAUUAAUUAUUUAAUUCCCUUAUAUAUAUAUAUAUAUAUUAAACAACAAACACAGACAACAAUUAAUGCUAUUUUAUACACCAUACACGGCCCCGAUUCCAAAUUAAAAUAUCGACAUUAGUUGCGUUUUCAUCUUGUCUUCAAUAAUUAACGCACGAUGAACGACCUGUUUUACCCUUUGGCCUUAGCUGGCCUCCUACCUCCCCAGCACUAAGGCUAAAAGCCUUCUGUGAAUGACCUGUUUAGACUUCAAAUUUUAAUUUUAAACAAAAGACUGAGGAUAGCAUAAGUUAUGAUUAUUGUGAAUUUUCCAUCCCUUAUAUAAAUUCUCAAAUUUAUUUAAAUUGUGAGUCAGAAGUAUAUUACCUAAAUUAUUUUAUCAGGCCAUGUUCGUAUACUAGGAUUAAGUACGAAAUUGGACUAAUUUUGUGAUUAAAUAUUUAUCUCAUGUUUGUUAAACUUAAUUGAAUUGGACUCAGGGACUAAAUUUAAGUUUAAUCCUAAAAUUAUGGGAUUAAUAAUUCUAAUUUACACAUGGUUUUAGUUGGGAUAAAAUUAAAGAAAAAAACUUAUCUAUUUAUGAGACUUUAAUUUCUAUCAUUAUUGUUUAUUUAUACUUAAUAUUAAUUAAUUUUUUUAAUUUAUAAUUUACUUAAAAAUUAUUUUUAUUUAUUAUCUAUCAUCUGAUUAAAUUGGAACUUUACUUCUACCAACUCUUGAGAUUAAUUUUUCAUUAUUUGCAUAUUUGAUAAUUUGUCAAUAAAAUUAACCAUUUAAUAAUUUAUAGCAUUAUUGAUUGUAUUAAAUUUAAUAAUCACUAAUAUAAUAUUAAAAAUAUCAUGAAAAUUAACAACAUCAUCAAUUAAUUGAUUUUAUAUAUAUUUUAAAUAUUUGAUAAGAAUUUGAUAAAAAUUAAUUAAGUAUUUAAAUUUUUAUUCAUUUUUUAUUUGUUUAUUUUAUUAUGAAUACCCAAUAACUUACAAUAUAAUUAAUUUUCUUAUUCAGACUACUCAGCAUCAACUCCUGUAAAAUUUCUUACAUUAUAAGCAACAAAAUAUUUAUAAACUACUACAAAAGGCUUAGAUCAAUACACCGAUGAACCUUCUAAAGUUAUAUAUAAUAUAUUAAUUGUUGAUCUAGAAUAGUCUUAGUAGAUAGAUUUUUUGUUUAAAUAUAAAUAAUCAAUAAAUUUUUUAUCGUUUAAUAGAUAUUGAUGUAAUUUCGCCGGAUCAUAUGAAUCCAUUAUGAAUUUCAGCGGAAAUUUGAAUGUGUUCUGGACCGUGCAAGUGAAAUUUCAGAUAAACUCAUCUCCUGACAAUUUAUUUAUUAUUUUUGGGUGCUGCUCCUGUAACUUUAUUAUGUCAUGACAAACUUCAAAAUCUAAUUUAGAGUGCGACUCAAAUAAUUGUAAUUAGUAAUUUAUUACAUCUGCAGUCGGAUAUUUUGUUGAUAAAACAAAAAGAGAAUAAAAUCAAUCCCAUAAUGAUUUUAAUAAAUAUCAUACUACAAAGAAAAUAUGCGAAAGAUAACUAAGGAAUAAAGCUUUUCCACAAUGAUUUAUAAAAUUGCUUUUCGAGAAUGGUUAUGAAAUUAUAUCAAAUUACUAAAAUUUAGUUAACCUCUCAAGAAGUCUAUUUCUCGAGUUUAAAAUUCGAAUGUCAAAAAAGAUAAAAUGUUAAAAAAAUAUUUAAAUAUUAUCCACCCUUUUACUAUUUUAAUAUACAAAAAGAAGAAUUACUUAUUUUUAACAUAGCAACCGGGGGCAUAAUAUAUCUGAUGGAUUUUUCUAUAGAACAAAGCUUAUUAUAUCUCCUAUUAAAAAUGUCAUUUUUUGUUAGGAAAAAGAUAUUUAUAUCCCCAAAGUUUGGAGAAAUGGUUACCAACGCUCCUAAGUUUUCAAGAAAAGAUACUAAAACUUCUUUCUUACUACAAUACCCUUUACCUUUAUUAUCCCAAAAAUUAACUUUAAUUUUUUAUAGUAAAGAGAAAUAUAAUAUUAAAAUAAAUGUAAUAAUUUAUAAAUUUUAAAAUAAUUUCAAUAUUUAAAAAUAUUUUAAUAUUUUACAAUCUAUUAAUAUAUUUUAUUAUGUUAAAGUAAAUUUCUGCUGUACAAAUGUAAACAUAAUAUUAAAAAUAAAUGUAUUAAAAUUUAAAUUAUUAUGUAAAAUAAUAAUUUUAACAUUAUUAGUAUGUGAGACUUUUUUAAUUGUAAAAUGUAUUUAAUGCAAAUAUUUAUUUAAAAUCUCUACAAUAAAUACAAAUAUAUUAUUAAAUAAAUAUAUUAAUUUACAUAUUUAAAUUUAUUCAAAUAUUUUAAUAUUAUUAAUCUACAACGUAGAUUACAUUAUUUAUAUAAUAUUUGUAUUUAUUCAUUUGCAAGUUAAAUUUUUCGAGAUACUAAAGGUAAAGGAUAUUAUGGUCAAAAAGGAGUCUUGAUGUCCUUUUUAGAAAACUUGUAGUGUUGGUGACUAUUUCUCCAAACCUUAGAGAUAUAAAUACCCUUUUCCCUUUUUCAUUUUAAGCAAGUGGCAAACUAAAGAUUAAACUGUCAUAAAUUCACAAGAUAUUCACCACAAUAGUUGUAGGAAAUUUCUUCUUCCCUAAGCGGAAAAUACAAAAAAAAAAAACAUAAUUGGCAAUUUCACUAGCAAAACUAAGAUUUUAUUGCAUAUCAGGGGCGGAGCUAAGAGUAAAUCUUCAUGAGGCCCAAGUUCAAAUUUCAAGUGUUAGUUGGGGAUUAAUUUUAUUCAGUUUUUUCUAUUUAUAGCUAGCAUGUAGGGUAUUCCAAAAUUUGAGAAUUUUGUUACUGAUAAUUGAAACUAUUGUUGCAAGAGAAAACAAAAUGAACAAAAUAAAAAUCAAAGAGGUAGGCCCAAACUUACAAACUUUUAAAAAAGGCUAUGAAAAAUAAUUAACAAAUAAAAACAAAAUCAGGUUUAAUUGAUUUUAUUUCACAAAAUAUACAAUUAAAGUUUCAUUAUAUGUAUCAAGUUUAUGUAUCAAGUAUUCAAGGGCAAAUCAGUCAUUUUAUACCUAAUUUUGAAUAUUUCAUUUAAAAACCUCAAAAAAAAAUUUCAAAGCUUAUAGGGUGAUGGUCCCCUCUAGGAGUGCGCAAAUUUGGGUUUGGAUCAACUUGAUUGGAUUUUAGGUUGAUUGGCUUGGAAUAUUCGAAUUGGAUUAGAUCAAAUCAAAACUUUGGGGUUGAGUCUAGAUGGGAUCAGGUUAUAAUUAUAUGAGGCCGAGGUUGGGUUUGAGUUAAAUUUGAAUUUGGGUCAAUUAUGAUGGAUUCAGAUAAUGUUCGGAACAGGGGUAAUUUUGGGCCUUUUUUUUGUUUUGAUUCUUUUUCAAAAUUAUCUCAUUUUAGUUCAUUUUUACAAAUUUUAAACUAAAAAAAUGAAAACUACUACUAUGAAAUCAAAUGAACAAAAAUUAAAAUAAACCAAAAAUAAUAUUGUUAAAUUAUGCUAUCCAAGGAUUAUUGGUUAUUAUAAAAAAGUAGGACGUAAAUGAUAUAUAUUGAUUACAGUAUGGGAGAAAAUUGUCAUUCUCCCUAUAUAUAUAUAUAUAUAUAUAUAUAUAAAGAGUGGAUAUGGGGCCUUUUAAUGCUUUAGUAAAAGAUUAUAAAGUAAAGGAUGUAUAUGUCAGCAAGAGACUUCGUAUUACCUUUGCAUUAAGAGGCAAGCCUUUACACUUGUAUGAAAUUUUUUAUUUUUGAUUGGUUCUAAAUUUUGAAGAUCCUCAAAGGACCGCCAAAAGCAUACUUGCUUAAACAGUGACCAACAUUCUCUUUCAGCCAAUUCUUUUACUGGGGCUGAGAGAUCAAAGGCAACAUUAUUGGGGCGGAGCGAUUACUUAAUUUGACAUAAAUUAAGAGUAGACGCCGGCUAAUGAAAAUUACAUGCCAACUAAAGAUAUUGUCUUGAACAAAUUGGCAUAAUAAUUUAUGCCAACGCUUGAUAUGAAAGCUUUGUUGUAACAAAUUGGCAUGAAUUAUAUUUUAUCUCUCUUUCUUCAAAGAAAAUUUUAAUUUAAGAUUAAGCUCAUUAAAAAAUUAACAUCAUUAUAGAUUCAUUCAAAAUAUUAUAUGUGCAUAAAUACAGAAAAUUCAAGUGACACAAUUGCGAGGGGUACUCGGGUUUUAAUGAUCUUUUUUAUCUUAAUUAAUUAUUGGAAAAUUUUAUUCAUUUUUUUUUAAAUCCUGAGCAAGGUCAACUCCUAUAUGCUUUUGUACGUAUGUACGUGUGCUUGUGUGUAUGUGUAAUAAUUACAAUAUUGUCUGGUUAAUCCACAAUUUCAUCACUAUCAUUAAUCCAUAGUGAGCUGAGAAAUAAGCCAUGAAUAAGUGCUUGAGAAGUUCAAAGAUAAAAUAUUUAUUCUGACACAAAACGUCGAAUGAUAUAAAAUGUUGAGAACUAAUAAUAGUUUAGUGUUUGGUUUAAGUUUCAUGAAUUUUGUGCCAAAUAUGACGUUGUAAGGUACAAGAAUGUCAGGCGUACUUCGCCGAAGAAUGGAUUAGGAGGGACGACGGAUAGGAACUUGAUUUACAAACUCAAAGCUACCAAAGUCUCUUCGGCGGGGAAGUUUUACAACAUUUUGUGCAGUGAGCUAGUCGAUAGACCCAAUAGGAUAAUGAUUGAUAAAAAGAAAUAAAAUUAAUGUUUAUACCUAGAUUGAGAUAUAAAUUUAUUAUCCAACUUAUGUAUUAUAUAGAGAGAGAAAUGUCGGGUUAGCCGACAUCGAUUGUGGAAGAGGCUGAUAAUGACCUUAUAAAUGUGAGGGAAUAUCUCUCUCUUUGAGCUAGCUUUUGAAGUUGAGAGAAGCCCAAGACCAUCUAACAUUAGUAUCAAAGCUCAGGUUCACCAACAACUCAACCAACAAUCUAAUAGGGAGAAUGGAUGUUUAUGCUUCCAACCCAAGGCCCAAUGAGUGAGGAGAGAUUGUUGGGAUUAUCCCACAUUGGUUGUGGGAGGAGCUCGUGGUGAUUUCAUAAGUGUGAGAAAAAAAUCUCACUUAUUGAGCUAGCUUUUGACUUUUGAGGUUGAGAUAAGCCCAAGACCACCUCACACAAAUAUUCUCUAAUCACUUAAUGUUUUAGACUUUAUAAAAAAUACACGACCACAUUUUUUUUAUAACAAUUCCACCUGAUGUUUACAAAAUGUAUCAUUUCUACACUAUUGUCAUCACGCCGUUAGAAUUUUACUCAUGUCAGAAUGAUAAACUUGUCAUUGGACUCUUAACGGACAAAAACGACGUCGUAUUUAAGGAAGAAUUAUAUAAUCCCAUCUGCUUGAAACUUUCUACAAUGACAAGACAUAACUAGUAACGGACAACCUGCUGUGCCAGUCAUUUUUCUCCUUCGAUUGGGAUCGUCGAUUUCUUUACUAAAAUCAACGAGUGAAUGAUUAUCAGCAUCAGGAGCCAAAGAAGGCAAACCGCCACAUUUGUUUUCGAUGUGGUCCUAUAAUUUAUUGAAAAAUCCAACGAUUGCCCCAAAAUAACAAAGUUAGUGAGCUAAAAUAACGCAACGUACAACACAGUAUCAAACUACCACCAAAUUUUAUCAGUUAACCAAUAAACUAAAAAAUUCAAGGUUUAAAAAAAAUUUGAAAUUUUAAAAUUCUUAAACGACUUGAUAAUAAGCCCCAAUCCGCCAUCGCCACGAUCCACGGGUACAGGUACCAGAUUAAAGUGCGUUUUCUCUUGAGCUCUCUUUUAAUUAUUUUAGUUUUAAUUCUGAUUUUUUUAUUUUAUAUAUUAUUUAAUAUCUAUAUUGCAGUCAUCUAUUUUUUUUCGUUAUUAAAUUAGGGCAAAUUAGUUAUUUUAUGUUAAGGGUAGAAUAAUCAUUUACAUUUAGGGUAAAAUAAUCAUUUUUUCAGUAUUAUGUUAAAUUCUCUUAUGCUGUUAUGACGGAAGUAGAGCAAUGAUGCACUUUAAACAUUAGGAACUGUGGGAACGAGAACAUUUUUUAAUGAAAUACUUAAUAAUUAGCAACUCAAAAUAUAUCAUUUGUAAUGAACUAUUUAAUUUGCAAUUUCUUUAGUUUUGGAUGGCAACUCGGGAUUCUUCAUUUAAACUAUGACGAUUUAUAACUUGCGGGUACACAAGACAUUGCUCCCACCACUUUUCACAGAAGUAAAAAUCAAGCCAAUCGCUUCCAUUUGUGGCAAAUUUAUCGGAGAAAGAAAAAGGAAAAAAAAAAUAAAAAGAAUUUUGUAACUACUUAACUUUGCCGAAGCAGAGUUAAGUAGUUACAAGAUUGCAUUCUUGAAUGUACAGAAAUGAUAUGUAGCAAAACCAAGCAUAAAGAAAUAAGAAGAUAAUGUUAUAUGGUACGGCUAUUAGCCUAUGUCAUAGUAAAAGACAUGAAGAAAAUUUUACUAAGAAAUGGGUGUGUACAAAUAUUAAAAGAAAACAUUCACCGACGACCCAAAUCGCAGAUAUGUGCUUAAUUUUCUUACUCACUCUAAGAACAUUCAAUCUCCGAAAAUUCAUUCAAAUGAAACUUUCAGAAAGACUUAAUAUUAAGGCUUUAGCAUCACUUCAUAUGCUCAACAAUUCAAAUUUGAGUAUGAUAUUUCUCAAAAUGGAGGGCUCUACUUGGCUUGUGAACAAUCUUCCUCACCAUCAUCAUCCUUGCCAUACCAGCAGCACUGAACAAUCUUUGUUCUGACAUUUGCCCCAUUUAUCUGAUUACACAAGAAUCCGAAACAACUGUUAGAAAUUUUAAUCUUUAUAUAUAGCCAAAAUGGUGAAUAAGAUGAUGUGAUUGAUGAUAAAAACCUGAGUUAAAUAAUUAAGGGUCCGGUAACAAUCACAGUAUCUCAUCAUGUGGGGAAAGCCUUCGCAACAGAAGACGGUGCUUGCAUUCAAGCAAUAAUAACUUUCCAAUUUUAUAAGGUAGCUUAACGCCCUUUCAAGAAUAAGUGCACCAGCCUAACAAUUAUUCAUGGAAAUUCAAAUUCAGAAUCAUGUUAGUAUGAGAGAUGAAGUAUAAUAAGCGACUUGGCCACUAUAUAUGCACUUAUCACCUUCAAUUUGCUCAUCUUAGUCUACAGUAUUAUUUCUGCUUUAACUUAAUUAGCUUACAAGCCACAUAAGAAUGGUUUUAAAUAAUAAGUGAGAGUGUGAAUUCGAACAAUUAAUCAAAUAUGAUGACCGAAGAGACAAAAGUAAAAUAACCACAAGAAGUAGAAAUAUACUUUUGUUAUAUUUAGAGCAUCUUCUACUGGCAAGUUCUUUUCCUUUAGCUCUGUUUCUGUGUGCGCUCAAACGCAAUGCCUCAAGGCUCAAGAUAAUUUUAUGGCCAUCAAUCAUUUGCAGCCACAUGCAGACUUAAAAAACUAGUCGUGGCCCUAAGGAACUUGAAAAUUAGAAAAGAUUCAGAAUGAGUGACUAAAAUAUCUUAAUCGAGACUACUUAAACAUGCACGCCUUGAAAAUCUGAAACUGAAUUACUCAAAUGAAUGUGGUUGAAACUUUACUGCAAAGACUUCUUGAAACCCAUGAAGAUGAUACUCUACCUGAUAACACAAGGAAACACAAUCAAUACAAGAAGAUGAUUUUACAAACAAAUGAGAGCUUAUAAUUAUUGGGAGAGUGAUAACUCUAGGAAAUGAGAGUUAUUGUUGUGAAAAUUUUAAUAUACUCGCAAGCACACGAAUCUAGAAAUAGAGUAGUGGUAACGAGGUCGAUCCCACAUGGAUUGUUAUAAUUUGAAAAGUCUAAUUUAAAUCUAAAAUUAAUAUUAAUUCUAACCUAGUUGAGCAAAUUGAGUUUCAAGAGAAAUUAAAUUAAUUAAACUAAGAAAAUAAUUAAAACAAAAGAGAAUUCAAUAAGAUAAAAAUUACCAAGGUUUCAGAAUCCACCACUAUUUAACUAGUAAUUAUCUAAUUAUUAAUUAAUCCCCAAUUUUAGAGUGACAACUCGAAAUCAAUCUAUGUCAUCUCUUGGAUAUAACAAUUAAGCCCAAAUAAAAUUAAUCUUAUGUAGGUUCUUUUUCUGCUUAAUUGUAUAACAUCUAAGAAUCUCAUGUAAACAUAUUGAAUAACAAAGAGUCAAAGUUUCCCUAAGCACUCUAUGUAAACAAUUUAAUGAAAGACAUAAUAUCAAAGGCAAUCAUGUAUAAACUUUAUAGAUCCAAGCAUAGAUUUAAUCAAAUAUUAAUCUUAACAAUCAAUAAUGCAUGACAGAAUUGAUGAAAAGAUUUUAUUAACAUCCAAUUAAUCAUGUGAAAUAAAAACCAUAAUCAUCAAAGAACAUAUAUAGGGAAUUAAUUAAAUAAAAAGAUAAUUAUUUUAUUGAAUAGGGUUUCAUCCUUAACCUCAGUAUAAGAAAAUUAGCUAGACAUACUUGAAUUGAGAGCAACACAAGAAAUAAAAUCAGCCAUGGAAGCCGAAUUGCUGCUGCUGCAGAAUACUCUCUCCCAACCUUGUGUCUGCACCCCCUUGUUUCCGUCCAGUCGCCCUCCAAUUCAAAAGCAAAACUCCCUUUUUAUAUUGCUUGAAUCCUAUUGUGAUUCUAAUAACUAAACCAACUUUUACAAGCUAAAGCCCUAAGCUUGCCACGUAAUUGAAAACAAUAAAAGCCAAAAGCUAUUGAUUUCCUUCCUUUAUUCUACUUUGACUUUCCAUUCAAAGGCUUAAUUAAAAGCUUUGUUUUAUGUACUGCCCACUUUAGCUUUAACCUUCUUCUUUGUUUGCACGAGCAUGGAGAAUUCAAUUUAUUGGCUUUGGUUUCUUCGAACAGAAUUUCUUGCACAUCUCUUUAAUUACUUUCACAAAUUGAUUUGAUCUUCAAUGCUGUCCAAUUGUUAUUCUUUACAUACUUUUCAUCCAUAAUCUCCAAUUAAUCCCCUAUGCAAUAAAAUAAUUCAAUUAAUUAAAAAUAAUAAAUAAACAUAACUAGCAAUUAUUAUAUUAUUAAGGGUAAAUAUGUAUAUAAAUUAUGCUCAUAAGUUAUUACAUCAAUUCUACACUUGAAUAAAGGUCAUUUAGAGAGCAAUUAAUGUGUUUUGAUUACAUUUUGGUGACCUUUUGCAUAAACAUUCACUUUAGUUGAGUCUUAACAAGUUUUGCUUGAAUCAUAGUAAUUUGUGCUAAAAACAGGUUUUAAAUUGUAGGUUUUAAAUUCAUGAGGGGAUGUGGAGACAUUAGAUGAGAAAGAGGAGGAAAGAAGAUGGCCACAAAAGAAGAAAAGCACAAUCAGGAAUAAUACAGUGCUAUUGCGGAUGUUAAUGCAACCAGUGCUGCAGCAAUUUGGGAGCAAUGCGGGAGAAAUUUAGGCGCGGGUCAGUAAUAAAAUCAUGAUCUACAUGUUUCCUAAUUUAAACACAUGCACGCUCAUGGGCUUUGGUUUUAACCUAAUUUGCAAUAUAUAAAGGAGGCAUGCACCACAUAGAAAGCGGCGGAGAGAUUACCAUCCAAGUAGUUAAAAAGGCAAAAAGAAGAAGAAGAUCAAGAUUUAGGAGGACUGUUUGGCAUCAUUGAAGAAUCGAGGAGAUCCACUAGUCUUUCACCGUGCUCAACUCAUAUUAUCUUUCUUCCUUGAAAUUGUUUGGAUGUAUUCUGUUAUCAAAGGCAAUCAUGUAUAAACUUUAUAGAUCCAAGCAUAGAUUUAAUCAAAUAUUAAUCUUAACAAUCAAUAAUGCAUGACAGAAUUGAUGAAAAGAUUUUAUUAUAGCUAGACAUACUUGAAUUGAGAGCAACACAAGAAAUAAAAUCAGCCAUGGAAGCCGAAUUGCUGCUGCUGCAGAAUACUCUCUCCCAACCUUGUGUCUGCACCCCCUUGUUUCCGUCCAGUCGCCCUCCAAUUCAAAAGCAAAACUCCCUUUUUAUAUUGCUUGAAUCCUAUUGUGAUUCUAAUAACUAAACCAACUUUUACAAGCUAAAGCCCUAAGCUUGCCACGUAAUUGAAAACAAUAAAAGCCAAAAGCUAUUGAUUUCCUUCCUUUAUUCUACUUUGACUUUCCAUUCAAAGGCUUAAUUAAAAGCUUUGUUUUAUGUACUGCCCACUUUAGCUUUAACCUUCUUCUUUGUUUGCACGAGCAUGGAGAAUUCAAUUUAUUGGCUUUGGUUUCUUCGAACAGAAUUUCUUGCACAUCUCUUUAAUUACUUUCACAAAUUGAUUUGAUCUUCAAUGCUGUCCAAUUGUUAUUCUUUACAUACUUUUCAUCCAUAAUCUCCAAUUAAUCCCCUAUGCAAUAAAAUAAUUCAAUUAAUUAAAAAUAAUAAAUAAACAUAACUAGCAAUUAUUAUAUUAUUAAGGGUAAAUAUGUAUAUAAAUUAUGCUCAUAAGUUAUUACAUCAAUUCUACACUUGAAUAAAGGUCAUUUAGAGAGCAAUUAAUGUGUUUUGAUUACAUUUUGGUGACCUUUUGCAUAAACAUUCACUUUAGUUGAGUCUUAACAAGUUUUGCUUGAAUCAUAGUAAUUUGUGCUAAAAACAGGUUUUAAAUUGUAGGUUUUAAAUUCAUGAGGGGAUGUGGAGACAUUAGAUGAGAAAGAGGAGGAAAGAAGAUGGCCACAAAAGAAGAAAAGCACAAUCAGGAAUAAUACAGUGCUAUUGCGGAUGUUAAUGCAACCAGUGCUGCAGCAAUUUGGGAGCAAUGCGGGAGAAAUUUAGGCGCGGGUCAGUAAUAAAAUCAUGAUCUACAUGUUUCCUAAUUUAAACACAUGCACGCUCAUGGGCUUUGGUUUUAACCUAAUUUGCAAUAUAUAAAGGAGGCAUGCACCACAUAGAAAGCGGCGGAGAGAUUACCAUCCAAGUAGUUAAAAAGGCAAAAAGAAGAAGAAGAUCAAGAUUUAGGAGGACUGUUUGGCAUCAUUGAAGAAUCGAGGAGAUCCACUAGUCUUUCACCGUGCUCAACUCAUAUUAUCUUUCUUCCUUGAAAUUGUUUGGAUGUAUUCUGUGAUCAGUAUAUUUAAGUUUACUUUUCUCAUUCAGAAUAUGAACUAAAUUUACGUGUAGUUGAGUGACAAAUAAUCCAAUGGGUUCUUGACUGUUCUUAUAUGUUGUUAUGGUAUUGCUGUAGCAUUAUACUCUAAUAGUUGUAUGAAUACAACUGUUAUUUCGGUUGACCACCCAUUUAAUAGUUUCAGUUAAGAUAGAGCAGCAAAAGGGCAUGUCUUAGCGGACAUUAUUAGAGUAUUACUUGUUCUUAAGUUGAGUUUCCUGGAUUAGGUUAUCUUGAAUCCCAUAAGGGCAAUACUUGAAGUUAAGAUUUGUGACACUCUAGACAUAGAUGUUCACCUUGUAGGGUAGAGAGAUUAAAAAUUAUUAUGCCGUACCAUAAAUAUAUGAGCAACUGGUCAUUGUUAGUAGAUUUAAAGGUAUGAGAUUUCCAACAUGCGAUAGCUGCAGAUGCAGAUUUAUUCUACCCAUUGCUGCAGCACUUAUUGUAACAACUGGUGCUAAUUCGGUCAACAACAGUCACCCCAUUAGGAGAGUUUGAUCAUUCAACUACUAUAUUCUCAAUUGAAUCUUAGAUACCUUUUGCUUAGUUUAUUUCAUUACAGUAUUGUUUUAUUUCCAUCUCUCACAAUUAAUAAUUAUGAUAGACUUGUUUGACAAUUGUUUGUUUCGACCUUUAGUUGAUUGCACUAUUGUGAUUGCUUUAGCAUUUUGAGCAACAUCAAUCCCUGUGGAGACGAUCUAGAAUACUCAUCACUUUAUUACUUGUUGUGUAUACUUGCACAUUGACAUUAAUAGUAAUUGAUUAUAUAAAUCAACCAACAAGUUUUUGGCGCCGUUGCCGGGGAUUGAUUGUUUAUUUUUGAAGUGUGAAGUAAAUCGUGAUAGCACCAAAUUUGACUUGAUUCAUUCUAUUGAUUGACAGAUCAGUACGUGCAUGUGCAAGGACAGACCUGUAGUAUUCCAAUUCGAUCCUAAGAUUGAAAGGACUAUUAGGAGAUUGUGAAGAGAACAAAGAAAUUCAAAGAUUGUUUCAGGCAUGAAUAAUUUACAGGAUGAGGGAAAUUUGAACCCUCACGGGCCUUUACAACCAGCCAACAUUCAAGAAGAGCAGAAUGAACAUGCUAACGGGAGACAGCCAGGCAAUAACAAUAUUAUUUACAUGGCUGAUGACAAAGACAGAGCUAUAAGAGAUUAUACUGUGCUAACUCCUCAAGUUGUCCAUCUUGGCAUCAUCAGACCUGAAGUAGACACUACCAACUUUGAGUUAAAACCAGUGAUGUUUCAAAUGUUGCAAACAGUUGGGCAAUUCAAUGGAUUGUCAAGUGAAGAUCCUCAUCUCCAUCUUAAAUUGUUCUUGGAAGUAAGUGAUGCUUUCAAGAUUGCUGGAGCAACACAAGAUGCCUUAAGGCUGAGGUUAUUCCCUUAUUCCUUAAGAGAUCGAGCAAGGGCAUGGUUAAAUUCAUUACCAUAUGAUUCCAUCACUACAUGGAAUGAAUUAGCUAAUAAAUUCCUAAUGAAAUAUUUCCCACCAACAAAGAAUGCAAAAUUACGAAAUGAGAUUACCUCUUUCCAUCAACUUGAGGAUGAGAGUUUAUACGAGGCUUGGGAAAGGUUCAAGGACUUGCUCAGAAGGUGUCCUCAUCAUGGUAUUCCUUGUUGCAUUCAAUUGGAAACGUUUUACAAUGGGUUGAAUCCGAGUACAAGGUUAAUGGUGGAUGUUUCAGCAAAUGGAGCUCUGUUAUCUAAAUCCUACACUGAAGCUUAUGAAAUUUUGGAAAGAAUUGCCAUGAUUCCAUCACUACAUGGAAUGAAUUAGCUAAUAAAUUCCUAAUGAAAUAUUUCCCACCAACAAAGAAUGCAAAAUUACGAAAUGAGAUUACCUCUUUCCAUCAACUUGAGGAUGAGAGUUUAUACGAGGCUUGGGAAAGGUUCAAGGACUUGCUCAGAAGGUGUCCUCAUCAUGGUAUUCCUUGUUGCAUUCAAUUGGAAACGUUUUACAAUGGGUUGAAUCCGAGUACAAGGUUAAUGGUGGAUGUUUCAGCAAAUGGAGCUCUGUUAUCUAAAUCCUACACUGAAGCUUAUGAAAUUUUGGAAAGAAUUGCCAAUAAUAAUUACCAGUGGCCUUCAGCCAGGCAACCAGCAGCAAGAGAAUCAGCAGGGGUACAUAGCAUUGAUGCAAUUACAGCCUUAUCAGCUCAAGUAACCUCAUUGACUAACAUGGUAAAAGCCUUGACAAAUGCUCCAGCAACAGUAAAGCAAGUUACUGAACUUUCUUGUGUCUACUAUGGUGAAGAACAUGAUUUUGAUAAUUGUCCUAGAAAUCUAGCCUCAGUAAAUUAUGUGGGUAACUUCAAUCGACAACCUCAGAACAACCCAUAUUCAAAUACUUACAACCCAGGCUGGAAACAACACCCAAAUUUCUCAUGGAGCAAUCAAAAUCGAAAUGCUCCAGCGUUGAAUGGACUAAGUAGAAACACACAACCACAACCACAACCACCUGGUUUUCAUUAACAAAGUCAAGGGCAAAAGCAUAUCAGUCAGGAUCCAAUCACUUCAUUGGAAGCACUAAUCAAGGAGUACAUUACAAAGAAUGAAGCAAUUGUGCAGAGUCAAGCUGUGUCCUUGAGAAACCUUGAGAACCAAAUGGGACAAUUAGCUACAGUAAUGAGCAGCAGAACUCAAGGAAGCCGACCUAGCAACACAGAAGACCCUAGGAGAGAAAGCAAAGAACACUGCAAAGUAAUUAGUUUGAGAUCUGGAAAGAAUGUUGAUAUCCCAGUUGAAGUGACCAAAAAUGGGAUGGAAUGUAAUUCAGCUCAAAAACCAACUCAAAAGAGAAGCAUGUUACAGCAGACUUCCCAUCAAGACACUGAUGUAAGAGGCCAAGCUAUAGCAACUGCAGAAGAAAUUCAACCAGAUCUUGCUGAAAAAGAAGUUGCAACACCAGUAGCCACAACCUGCACUAACUUAAACAAACAUAGUUUGGUACCUCCUGAAUCUAACCAGCAGUUUAGAUAUCCACCACCCUUCCCUCAAAGGUUCCAGAAGCAAAAACAAGACAAGCAGUUCAGUAAAUUUCUGGAACUGCUGAAACAACUACACAUAAAUAUACCUUUUGUGGAAGCGUUAGAGCAAAUGCCAAAUUAUGUGAAAUUUUUAAAAGAUAUCUUGGCACAAAAAAGAAGGUUGGGAGAGUUUGAAACUAUUGCUUUAACACAGGAAAGCAGCCAUAUGCUUCAGAGUAAAAUUCCCACAAAACUGAAAGAUCGAGGCGGUUUUACAAUACCCUGCUCUAUAGGGACUAGGUAUGCUGGCAGAGCACUUUGUGAUUUGGGAGCUAGUAUUAACUUGAUGCCAUUAUCUGUAUUUAAGCAGCUUGGAGUAGGGGAGUGCAGACCAACAACUGUCACUCUGCAAUUAGCUGACAGAUCUCAUGUAUAUCCUGAAGGAAAGAUAGAGGAUGUACUGGCGAAAGUUGACAAAUUCAUUUUUCCAGUGGAUUUCAUUGUGCUGGACUUUGAAGCUGACAAAGAGGUACCCAUUAUACUUGGCAAACCUUUUCUAGCAACUGGAAAAACUCUUAUAGAUGUACAGAAAGGAGAGCUGACCAUGGGAGUGAAUGAUCAGCAAGUCACAUUUAAUGUACUAGAGGCUAUGAGAAACCCUGAUGAAAUAGAAGAUUGCAAUUUCCUAAGUGUAAUGGAUCUUGUUGUAGCAGACAGAAUGGACAAAUGCUGCAGUAAUGUACUUAACAAAGUCACCACUUUUUUGAGGAGGUUGAAGAGGAAGAUGUUGCAGUAAUUCAAAUAGAUUGGAUGGACAAAUAACAAUAUAAUAGGCACAACAGGGUUAUUGAACACCUGAAUCUUUCAGACAGGGAAGUAAAAACAACUUUACCAUCUAUUGAAUCACCUUCUAGUUUUGAAUUAAAAUUGUUACCUUCACAUUUAAAGUAUGCUUAUCUUGGUCAAAACAAUACGCUCCCUGUAAUUAUUUCUUCUACUUUGGAUGCAAGCCCAUCCAUAUGUAUGCAUAAAAUCCUGUUAGAAGACUGUUCCAGCAAUUUGGUGGAGCACCAGAGAAGAUUGAAUCCUAUUAUGAAAGAAGUGGUGAAGAAGGAAAUCAUCAAAUGGUUAGAUGCUGGAAUCAUAUACCCAAUAUUAGACAGUUCAUGAGUAAGCCCAGUUUAGUGUGUUCCAAAGAAAAGAGGGAUAACUGUAAUGACUAAUGAAAAGAAUGAACUUAUUCUUACAAGGACAGUGACUGGAUGGAGAGUGUAUAUGGAUUACAGAAAGCUCAACAAAGCCACAAGGAAAGACCAUUUCCCACUUUUAUUCAUAGAUCAGAUGCUAGACAGACUUGCUGGAAAAUAAUACUACUGUUUCUUAGAUGGUAUUCAGGCUACAAUCAGAUUGCUAUAUCUCCAGAGGAUCAAGAGAAGACUACAUUUACCUGUCCUUAUGGAACAUUUACCUUCAGAAGAAUGUCAUUUGGGCUAUGCAAUGCUCCAGCAACUUUUCAGAGAUGCAUGAUGUCUAUAUUUUUUGAUAUGGUAGAGCAGACUUUGGAAGUUUUCAUGGAUAAUUUCUCAGUUUUUGGAGAAACAUACAGUAAUUGUUUACACAACUUGGAAGAAGUUCUUAAAAGAUGUGAGAUGACCAACUUAGUACUCAAUUGGGAGAAGUGUCAUUUCAUGGUGCAAGAAGGAAUAGUGCUGGGUCACAAGAUAUCCAAGGAUGGUAUUGAGGUAGACAAAGCAAAAAUAGAGGUAAUAGAUAAACUGCCACCCCCAACUUCAGUAAAGGGUAUUAGGAGUUUUCUAGGACAUGCUGGAUUCUACAGAAGAAUCAUUAAGGAUUUCUCCAAAGUAGCCAAGCCUCUGUGUUCAUUGCUAGAGCAUGACAAACCAUUUCACUUUGACAAAGAGUACCUUCAAGCAUUUGGAGAAUUAAAGAAAGCCCUGAUCACUGCUCUAGUAGUUAUAUCUCCAGAUUGGAAUUUACCAUUUGAAUUGUUGUGUGAUGCUAGUGAUCAUUCUGUAGGAGCAGUAUUAGGGCAAAGAAAGGAUAAUGUUUUUCAUUCCAUAUACUAUGCAAGCAAAAUUUUCACUCCAACUCAGAUCAAUUACACCACUACAGAGAAAGAGUUGCUGGCAGUAGUUUUUGCUUUUGACAAAUUCAGAGCUUACAUGGUGGGUACUAAAGUAACUGUUUACACAGAUCAUACAGCCAUCAAAUAUUUAAUUUCAAAGAAGGAUGCCAAACCAAGUUUAAUCAGAUGGAUCUUAUUGCUUCAAGAAUUUGAUCUGGAAAUUAAAGAUAGAAAGGGGACUGAAAAUCAAGUGGCAGACCACUUGUCACGAUUGGAAGCAGACACUAGUACAUUGACAAGGAAGGGCAUCACUGAAACUUUUCCUGAUGAACAGCUAUUGGUAGUACAGAAAGCACAGAUGCUGCAGCAGUCAGAACCUCCAUGGUAUGCAGACUUUGCUAACUAUUUAGUAAGUGGAUUACUGCCACCUGAGCUGAAGUUUCAAGAGAAAAAGAAAUUUCUUCACGAUGUUAGAAGUUAUCAGUGGGAUGACCCAUAUUUAUAUAAGCUAUGCUCAGAUCAAAUAAUAAGAAGAUGUGUUACAGCAGAAGAAAUACCUCAUAUACUGGAGUCAUGUUAUGCUGCAGUAUAUGGAGGACAUUUUGGUGGUCACAAAACAGCUGCCAAAGUUAUGCAAUCAGGUUAUUAUUGGCCCACUAUCUUUAAGAAUGCUUAUGAAUUUGCUAAAAGUUGUGACAGGUGUCAAAGGGCAGGGAACAUAACUAGAAGACAUGAAAUGCCGUUGACCAACAUGGUGGAAGUGGAGGUCUUUGAUGUCUGGGGAAUAGACUUUACGGGACCCUUCCCGCCAUCUUUUAGGAACUUAUAUAUCCUUGUUGUUGUAGACUAUAUCUCCAAGUGGGUAGAAGCUGCAGCAUUACCUACCAAUGAUGCUAAAACAGUGGUAGUUUUUCCUUUAAAAAAUGUGUUUUCCAGGUUUGGCACUCGUAGAGCAAUUAUUAGUGAUGAGGGAACACAUUUUUGCAACAAAAUAUUUGCUGCAACAAUGGCAAAAUAUAGAGUCAGACACAAGGUAGCUACAACAUAUCAUCCAUAAUCUAAUGGUCAGGCUGAAGUGUCCAAUAGAGAGAUAAAAAAAAAUCUUAGAAAAAGUGGUGAACCCAACAAGGAAGGAUUGGUCUUUACCUUUACAUAAUUCUCUAUGGGCCUACAGAACAGCAUACAAAACCCCACUCGGCAUGUCCCCUUACCGAAUUGUUUAUGGUAAGGCUUGUCAUUUGCCACUAGAACUAGAGCAUAAAGCACAUUGGGCACUGAAGAAAUUAAAUUGGGAUAUGCAUGCUGCAGUAGAGCAAAGAAAACUUCAACUUUGUGAGCUUGAUGAAUUAAGGCUAUAUGCAUAUGAAAAUGCAAGAAUCUAUAAAGAGAGGACAAAACAAUGGCACGACAAGCAUCUUCAGCACAGGGAAUUCAAUCUUGGUCAACUAGUGUUGCUCCACAAUACAAGACUAAGAUUAUUUCCAGGAAAGCUCAAGUCACGAUGGUCUGGCCCGUUUAAGCUGCUCAAAGUUUAUCCUCAUGGAGCUGUUGAUCUUGUAGAUGAACAAACACGCCACAAGUUCAAAGUUAAUGGACACAGGGUUAAGCACUACAUACAUCCAACAACAGCAUGUUCAAAGGAGGUGUUACUCCUUAAAGAACCGAGCUACUAAACAAAGAAGGAAGGUCAGGCUGAAGGACUUUAAAUCAAGUGCUUCAUGGGAGGCAGCCCAUUGAGGAGAUAGCCACUUCAAACCAAUUUUGAUAUCUUUUGGUUUUGUAGAAAGCUCUUCCUCUUUACCAUUUUAUUUCAUCUUGUUUUUCAAUAUUAACCAUUUAUUUUUUUUGUUUAUCCUUUUACAUUAUUGCAAUCCUUAUUUUCGAUUUAAUUUAAUCUAUCUAUUUUAAUUAUUUUAGACUUAAUUUUAGUUUGAAAUCAGUGUGACAAUUGAAUUCCAUAUUGACAAGUGAAAGUGUAUGGUGGCAGAAUUCAGAGGCAAAACCACGUGUCAGACGCUUUGGUAUGGAGUCUGUAUCCGUUGUUAGAAUAAGCGAAUGGGUGCUGCAACAACUAAUUUUACCGUUACAGUAAAUUAAAAGAUGGAGCCUUUCACUUACUGUUGGAGAUGAAAUCAUGACAGAUGGAUGCAUGGAUAUGGAUAAAAAUUGCGGAAAUAAAUCUCUGAAAUUAAAGCUUUAAUUUCAAUGGCCGAUAAUUUUGGGGAUAUGCACAUUAAAUUCAAAUAUUUUAUUCCCUCAAUUAUCUCUACUUACCGUAUUUAUCUUCAAAUUACAGCCCAUUAUAAAAAGGAGUCAUUGUGCUUAGUGCUCUACGCCACUAUUCCCCAUCUCCUUCGCAAGUCCAACUCUCCAAAUUCUUAACCUAUUCUUCUCUUUUUACUCUCAGGAACAGUAGCUUCAAUUUGUUACUGCUACAGCAAUGCCGAGAUACAAGAAAACAGCCAGCCGCCUUAAAGAUCCAUCACGCUUCUAGAGCUACCACGCUGAAGAAAAAUAUAAAGAAUUCAUAGAGCCGCGUAAGAUUCUGGAGGAAAAAUGAUUUCAAUUCCCAGAACAACUCACGGGAAUUGUUCAAACAAUUCAUAAUACUGCAGCAAAGCGAGGACGGUUAGUGUUUUGCAAUCACCCUCGUGAUCCGAUGCUUCAAGUAGUCAAGGAAUUUUAUGCCAAUUUGGUAAGCCCUAAUCAGCACAACAUUUCUGCUGUACGGCCAAGGCGGAUGUACGGUACAGCAGAUACACGGCCCCGAUUCCAAAUUAAAAUAUCGACAUUAGUUGCGUUUUCAUCUUGUCUUCAAUAAUUAACGCACGAUGAACGACCUGUUUUACCCUUUGGCCUUAGCUGGCCUCCUACCUCCCCAGCACUAAGGCUAAAAGCCUUCUGUGAAUGACCUGUUUAGACUUCAAAUUUUAAUUUUAAACAAAAGACUGAGGAUAGCAUAAGUUAUGAUUAUUGUGAAUUUUCCAUCCCUUAUAUAAAUUCUCAAAUUUAUUUAAAUUGUGAGUCAGAAGUAUAUUACCUAAAUUAUUUUAUCAGGCCAUGUUCGUAUACUAGGAUUAAGUACGAAAUUGGACUAAUUUUGUGAUUAAAUAUUUAUCUCAUGUUUGUUAAACUUAAUUGAAUUGGACUCAGGGACUAAAUUUAAGUUUAAUCCUAAAAUUAUGGGAUUAAUAAUUCUAAUUUACACAUGGUUUUAGUUGGGAUAAAAUUAAAGAAAAAAACUUAUCUAUUUAUGAGACUUUAAUUUCUAUCAUUAUUGUUUAUUUAUACUUAAUAUUAAUUAAUUUUUUUAAUUUAUAAUUUAGAGCCUUUCACUUACUGUUGGAGAUGAAAUCAUGACAGAUGGAUGCAUGGAUAUGGAUAAAAAUUGCGGAAAUAAAUCUCUGAAAUUAAAGCUUUAAUUUCAAUGGCCGAUAAUUUUGGGGAUAUGCACAUUAAAUUCAAAUAUUUUAUUCCCUCAAUUAUCUCUACUUACCGUAUUUAUCUUCAAAUUACAGCCCAUUAUAAAAAGGAGUCAUUGUGCUUAGUGCUCUACGCCACUAUUCCCCAUCUCCUUCGCAAGUCCAACUCUCCAAAUUCUUAACCUAUUCUUCUCUUUUUACUCUCAGGAACAGUAGCUUCAAUUUGUUACUGCUACAGCAAUGCCGAGAUACAAGAAAACAGCCAGCCGCCUUAAAGAUCCAUCACGCUUCUAGAGCUACCACGCUGAAGAAAAAUAUAAAGAAUUCAUAGAGCCGCGUAAGAUUCUGGAGGAAAAAUGAUUUCAAUUCCCAGAACAACUCACGGGAAUUGUUCAAACAAUUCAUAAUACUGCAGCAAAGCGAGGACGGUUAGUGUUUUGCAAUCACCCUCGUGAUCCGAUGCUUCAAGUAGUCAAGGAAUUUUAUGCCAAUUUGGUAAGCCCUAAUCAGCACAACAUUUCUGCUGUACGGCCAAGGCGGAUGUACGGUACAGCAGAUACACGGCCCCGAUUCCAAAUUAAAAUAUCGACAUUAGUUGCGUUUUCAUCUUGUCUUCAAUAAUUAACGCACGAUGAACGACCUGUUUUACCCUUUGGCCUUAGCUGGCCUCCUACCUCCCCAGCACUAAGGCUAAAAGCCUUCUGUGAAUGACCUGUUUAGACUUCAAAUUUUAAUUUUAAACAAAAGACUGAGGAUAGCAUAAGUUAUGAUUAUUGUGAAUUUUCCAUCCCUUAUAUAAAUUCUCAAAUAGAACCAGCUGCUGUAACAGGAGCAUGACGAACUAUUGGCUUAGAACAGACCAUCCAGGCACUCAGCACUAGUAUCAAUCAAUGUGUGGAAGCUCAGCAGAAGAAAAAUGGUCGGUUUUGGAGUUAUCUACAACACCUGGAUAGCCAACUACACCAAUUUGCUUUGUACAUGAAACGCACUCACCGGAACCUCCCUGAGUCACUGCUCCAGCAGUACAAUUUUGACACCAACACUACAGGUGCUCCAGUAGAAACCAGUGACGAAGCCACUGCCACAGAUGCACCAGCAGAGGAAACCGAACCACAAGCAAUGGUAGACUCAGAAGAUGCUGAAACAUCUGACCCACCUGAGGACGGAGGUGACAAGUUUGAGACCGAUAACUUACCCUCAGAGGCAGAGGACAAUUCGGAGCAAGAACGUGAGGAACCAACCAUCCCAGCCCAGUCCAAAACUUGAAAGCAACACCUUAUUCAAGAAGAGGAGGAGCCAGACCUUGAAGAUGAACCUACUAUUCCAGUCUUUGUAGGCAAAGGAAAAGAAAAGGGUAAAGCAAAAAUGGCAAUACCUCCAACCUCUGAAGGUAAAAUGGAGCAAAUUGAUGCUGAGCUGGCUACUGCAACAGCCAAAGUUACGCCUACAACUGAGCAAACCAAACAAUUACUGGCGAUUAUUGCGGCCAUCACAGUUGAGGGCCAGGCCGCUGAUGCAUCAACUCCAAUUCCUUCCCAGUCAACUCCUAGCCAGCCUAUUCGUACCAGCCCGCGACAGUCCAACAAAAGAAAAGGCAGUACUUUUAAAGGCCCUGCUAUAGCAACCCCAUCCACAACUCCUUUCGUCAGCCCCGCGACGAAAAAUACAUUAGAGACAUUAGAUGAGAAAGAGGAGGAAAGAAGAUGGCCACAAAAGAAGAAAAGCACAAUCGGGAAUAAUACAGUGUUGUUGCGGAUGUUAAAGCAACCAAUGCUGCAGCAAUCUGGGAGCAACGCGGGAGAAAUUUAGGCGCGGGUCAGCAAUAAAAUCACGAUCUGCAUGUUUUCUAAUUUAAACACAUGCACGCUCAUGGGCUUUGGUUUUAACCUAAUUUGCAAUAUAUAAAGGAGGCAUGCACUACAUAGAAAGCGGCGUAGAGAUUACCAUCCAAGUAGUUAAAAAGGCAAGAAGAAGAAGAAGAUCAAGAUACAGGAGGACUGUUCGGCAUCAUUGAAGAACCAAGGAGAUCCACUAGUCUUUCACCGUGCUCAACUCAUAUUAUCUUUCUUCCUUGAAAUUGUUUGGAUGUAUUCUGUGAUCAGUAUAUUUAAGUUUAAUUUUCUCAUUCAGAAUAUGAACUACAUUUACGUGUAGUUGAGUGACAAAUAAUCCAAUGGGUUCUUGACUGUUCUUAUUUGUUGUUAUGGUAUUGUUGUAGCAUUAUACUCUAAUAGUUUUAUGAAUACAACUGUUAUUUCAGUUGACCACCUAUUUAGUAGUUUCAGUUAAGAUAGAGCAGCAAAAGGGCAUGUCUUAGCGGACAUUAUUAGAGUAUUACUUGUUCUUAAGUUGAGUUUCCUGAAUUAGGUUAUCUUGAAUCCCAUAAGGGCAAUACUUGAAGUUAAGAUUUUUGACACUCUAGACAUAGAUGUUCACCUUGUAGGGUAGAGAGAUUAAAGGUUAUUAUGUCGUACCAUAAAUAUAUGAGCAACUGGUCAUUGUUAGUAGAUUUAAAGGUAUGAGAUUUCCAACAUGCGAUAGCUGCAGAUGUAAAUUUAUUCUACCCAUUGCUGCAGCACUUAUUGUAACAACUGGUGCUAAUUCGGUCAACAACAGUCAUCCCAUUAGGAGAGUUUGAUCAUUCAACUACUAUAUUCUCAAUUGAAUCUUAAAUACCUUUUACUUAGUUUAUUUCAUUACAGUAUUGUUUUCUUUCCAUCUCUCACAAUUAAUAAUUACGAUAGACUUGUUUGACAAUUGUUUGUUUCGACCUUUAGUUGAUUGCACUAUUGUGAUUGCUUUAGUAUUUUGAGCAACAUCAAUCCCUGUGGAGACGAUCUAGAAUACUCAUCACUUUAUUACUUGUUGUGUAUACUUGCACAUUGGCAUUAAUAGUAAUUGAUUAUAUAAAUCAACCAACAGAGAGCUCUACUCAUAUUUGAUGAGAUAUCUCUCAAAAGGGAGAGCUCCAAUAAUAUAUGUUGAUGCAAAAUUUUCGUUCAAUGUACAGUGAUUGAUUUAUGUUUCGGGCUUUCUUCUAAAUCGAGUUUUGUGGUUUAUCGUUUCCUUGAGGCGAGUGUCUCAAAUUACAUGUCUCUUUGUCGUUAAUUGUUCUGCAAAAAGAAACAAUUAUCAAAAGGUGCCGGGGUUGCUGGCAAUAACCCUCCGACGCUCAAGUCAGCCUUUUAAAUUUGAUUGUAAAGAGAGAAUUUAGAGAGAGAAGGACAACAUUUCCUUACCCUUUUUCUCCUCCCUUCAAAUGGGGAGUCUUGGCCUUUAUAUAGACAAUUUGAUCCAUGAGGUGGAGGUGCCAUCAUGACACGUGGCAUUAUCUUAGUGACAAGUGUCUGCAAAACUCAUGCAUAAAGACACAUGUCAUUAUGUGUCAAGCUUGUUCAUGACAAGUAAUCUUUGGACAUUUGUCAUGUUUUUGGGCUAGUAACCUUUAAUGGACUUUAACUUAAAUUCGGCACUUAUAUUGGUUCAUUAUAAAGAGGAUUAAUUUUGCAACAUUUUGCUCGUAAGUGCAUUCUGCCCGUAGGCGCAUUCCGUAAAAUGCAUAGUAACCUUUAAUGGACUUUAACUUAAAUUCGGCACUUAUAUUGGUUCAUUAUAAAGAGGAUUAAUUUUGCAACAUUUUGCUCGUAAGUGCAUUCUGCCCGUAGGCGCAUUCCGUAAAAUGCAUAUAUUUGCCCAUAUGCGCAUUCCGUAGAAUGUGUAUUUGCCCAUAGGCUUAUUCCGUAUAAUGUGUAUUUGCCCGUGGGCCCAUUCCGUAGAAUGCGUAUUUGCCCAUAGGUGCAUUCCGUAGAAUGUGUAGUCACCUAGAUGCGCAUUCCGUACAAUGUGUAUUUGCCCGUAAGCCUAUUCCGUAGAAUGUGUAUUUGCCCGUAGGCCCAUUUCAAGUAGCUCAUGUGCUCUUAUUUAGAAAUAUUUUCGAAGUAUCUAGGUCAUUUUUUGUGAUGAAUGGACCUAGGUCGUUCUUUAGGAGGAAUGGACCUAGGUCGUUCUUUAGGAGGAAUGGACUUAGGUCAUUCUUUGUUAAAUCAUGCCUUCGACAUUUUGCCAAAGCCUUGCCCUUUAGGUGUAUUAAGAAAUAUUUUCAGUCCCCUUUCUAUCUUUAAUUUUCAGAUCAAAUUCUUGAAGCAAUAAGAUCCAUCUGAUUAAUCUUGGUUUGGCAUCCUUCUUUGAAAUUAAAUAUUUGAUGGCUGCAUGAUUUGUAUAAACAGUUACUUUAGUACCCACCAGGUAAGCUCUGAAUUUGUCAAAAGUAAAAACUAUUGCCAGCAACUCUUUCUCUGUAGUGGUGUAAUUGAUCUGAGUUGGAGUGAAAGUUUUGCUUGCAUAGUAUAUAGAAUGAAAAACAUUAUCCUUUCUUUGCCCUAAUACUGCUCCUACAGAAUGAUCACUAGCAUCACACAUCAAUUCAAAUUGUAAAUUCUAAUCUGGAGAUAUAACUACUGGAGCAGUGAUCAGGGCUUUCUUUAAUUCUCCAAAUGCUUGAAGGUACUCUUUGUCAAAGUGAAAUGGUUUGUCAUGCUUUAGCAAUGAACACAGAGGCUUGGCUACUUUGGAGAAAUCCUUAAUGAAUCUUCUGUAGAAUCCAGCAUGUCCUAGAAAACUCCUAAUACCCUUUACUGAAGUUGGGGGUGGCAGUUUAUCUAUUACCUCUAUUUUUGCUUUGUCUACCUCAAUACCAUCCUUGGAUAUCUUGUGACCCAGCACUAUUCCUUCUUGCACCAUGAAAUGACACUUCUCCCAAUUGAGUACUAAGUUGGUCAUCUCACAUCUUUUAAGAACUUCUUCCAAGUUGUGUAAACAAUUACUGUAUGUUUCUCCAAAAACUAAGAAAUUAUCCAUGAAAACUUCCAAAGUCUGCUCUACCAUAUCAGAAAAUAUAGACAUCAUGCAUCUCUAAAAAGUUGUUGGAGCAGUGCAUAGCCCAAAUGGCAUUCUUCUGAAGGUAAAUGUUCCAUAAGGACAAGUAAAUGUAGUCUUCUCUUGAUCCUCUGGAGAUAUAGCAAUCUGAUUGUAGCCUGAAUACCAUCUAAGAAACAGUAGUAUUAUUUUCCAGCAAGUCUGUCUAGCAUCUGAUCUAUGAAUAAAAGUGGGAAAUGGUCUUUCCUUGUGGCUUUGUUGAGCUUUCUGUAAUCCAUAUACACUCUCCAUCCAGUCACUGUCCUUGUAGGAAUAAGUUCAUUCUUUUCAUUAGUCAUUACAGUUAUCCCUCUUUUCUUUGGAACACACUAAACUGGGCUUACUCAUGAACUGUCUAAUAUUGGGUAUAUGAUUCCAGCAUCUAUGAACAGUCUUCUAACAGGAUUUUAUGCAUACAUAUGGAUAGGCUGAUCCCCGUGAUAUCUGCCAUGGUCCAUGUUGUGCAAAUUUUAAUGUACUCGCAAGCGCACGAAUCUAUUGUAGUAUAGACUAAUGGUGACGAGUGUCGAUCCCACGAGGAGGUGGAUUUUACUGCUGUACCGUACAUCCGCCUUGGCCGUACAGCAGAUUUUUGAUUGAGGUGGUUGGAAUUGUGUGGAAGUGAUUUAAAUUAUCCUAAAAUUGGAAUUGAAAUGGCGAUAAUAAAUUCUAAAAUUGGAAUUGCAAUGUCGAGAAUAAAUUGAAGCGAAAUCUAUUGAAAUGACGUACUUGGGUAUCUGGAUCCGUAUCAACAUGCAUCAUGGGCUAAAUAAUCCGUAUUAAUGCCAAUUAAAUCAUGAGGGGGGAAUCCACACCUCAUGAACCACGCUCUAAUCAAUAUGGUGCUAAGGGCUCAUCGUGCCAAAUAAUAAUAACCUUAUACUAGAGAACCGGUGUAACCAAGGCGGUAUCUAGACAAGACUAUUAUUAUUUCUGCUGUACCGUACAUCCGCCUUGGCCGUACAGCAGAUCUUCAACAAAUUAGAUCGACUUUAUUUAGUGUUUGCAUUUAACGUAAUAGACAAUGAAAUUAAUGAUCAGAAGUUUAAUAUGAUUGUAGAUGGCAGGUAAUCCACGAAUCUACAGUGAUUUUACAUGUUCUUGUUCGUUCUUUAUUUUUGUGUACAUAAAGCCUUCGAUAAAUGAUAGUGUAGAUUGCCGCACUUUUUUUUUACUGUAAUAAUCUACAGAAAUUUAUUGGGAUUUCAAGUUUUAUUUAAGAUUCGUUAAAAAAUAUACUACCGCUAACAACAUUUGAAGAUAAAUAUACCCUUAUCUUUAAUUUUGUGAAAAGGAAAAAAAACCCUAAAAAAGGUAAAUUCACGAAGUUUUAUUGAGUUGUCUCUUAGAUUUUUAUGGACAUAUUCCUUCAUAAUUUUGAAAAUUCUUCUUUCAAGAUACAAAAGAUAUUCUAAAAUUUAGAUUCAAUUAGUAUGAUUGUUCGGAUCUGUUAGACCUUGAUCAAAUUAAAUCAACCAAGAUUCCCAAGAUUUAUCUAAACACUCUUAUGCUUGAUUAAGAAAUACUUAAGCAAUAAUAAAAGAUACACAAAAGGAACUAAAGAACAGCAACCAACGAAAAAAACAGAUUUAAGUGGUUCAGCCUGGAGUUGGCUUACAUCCACUGAACUGCUGUACCGUACAUCAUGCCCCUAAAAUACAUAAAAUACUUAAUUAAAAUAAAACACAUGUAAUUAAAUCACAAGAAGGUUAAAUACAUAAAAGUAAGGGUUGUUAGUAAGACUUGAAAUGUAAAAUGACGGUUUUCUCCUUUAUAAAUAUGCAUUUUCUAACACUCAACAGUCCAUCUAAUUGCUCUUCUGUAUUUUCCCAGCAAAUCUACUAAGCUUUGUUCUUGACCUGCAUCCAAAGUAGAAGAAAUUAUUACAGGGAGUGUGUUGUUUUGACUAAGAUAAGCAUACUUUAAAUGUAAAGGUAACAAUUUUAAUUCAAAACUAAGAGGUGAUUCAAUAGAUGGUAAAGUUGUUUUUACUUCCCUGUCUGAAAGAUUCAGGUGUUCAAUAACCCUGUUGUGCCUAUUAGAUUGCUGUUUGUCCAUCCAAUCUGUUUGAAUUGCUGCAACAUCUUCCUCUUCAACCUCCUUAAAGGUGGUGACUUUGUUAAGUACAUUACUGCAGCAUUUGUCCAUUCUGUCUGCUACAACAAGAUCCACUACACUUAGGAAAUUGCAAUCUUAUAUUUCAUCAGGGUUUCUCAUAGCCUCUAGUACAUUAAAUGUGACUUGCUGAUCAUUCACUCUCAUGGUCAGCUCUCCUUUCUGCACAUCUAUAAGAGUUUUUUCAGUUGCUAGAAAAGGUCUGCCAAGUAUAAUGGGUAUCUCUUUGUCAGCUUCAAUGUCCAGCACAAUGAAAUCCACUAGAAAAAUGAAUUUGUCAACCUUCACCAGUACAUCCUCUAUCUUUCCUUUAGGAUAUGCAUGAGAUUUGUCAGCUAAUUGCAGAGUGACAGUUGUUGGUCUGCAUUUCCCUACUCCAAGCUGCUUAAAUAUAGAUAGUGGCAUCAAGUUAAUACUAGCUCCCAAAUCACAAAGUGCUCUGCCAGCAUACCUAGUCCCUAUAGAGCAGGGUAUUGUAAAACUCCCUCGAUCUUUCAGUUUUGUAGACAUUUUACUCUGAAGCAUAUGGCUACUUUCCUGUGUUAAAGCAACAGUUUCAAACUCUCCCAGCCUUCUUUUUUGUGCCAAGAUAUCUUUUAAAAAUUUCACAUAAGUUGGCAUUUGCUCUAAAGCUUCCACAAAAGGUAUAUUUAUGUGUAGUUGUUUCAGCACUUCUAGAAAUUUGCUGAACUGCUUGUCUUAUUUUUGCUUCUGGAACCUUUGAGGGAAGGGUGGUGGAUGUCUAAACUGCUGGUUAGAUUCAGGAGGUACCAAACUAUGUUUGUUUAAGUUGGUGCAGGUUAUGGCUACUGGUGUUGCAACUUCUUUUUCAGCAAGAUCUGGUUGAAUUUCUUCUGCAGUUGCUGUAGCUUAGCCCCUUACAUCAGUGUCUUGAUGGGGAGUCUGCUGUAACAUGCUUCCCUUUUGAGUUGGUUUUUGAGCUGAAUUGCAUUCCAUCCUAUUUUUUGUCACUUCAACUGUGAUAUCAACAUUCUUUUCAGAUCUCAAACUAAUUACUUUGCAGUGUUCUUUGCUUUCUCUCCUAGGGUCUUCUGUGUUGCUAGGUAGGCUUCCUUGAGUUCUGUUGCUCAUUGCUGUAGCUAAUUGUCCCAUUUGGUUCUCAAGGUUUCUCAAGGACACAGCUUGACUCUGCACAAUUGCUUCAUUCUUUGCAAUGUACUCCUUGAUUAGUGCUUCCAAUGAAGUGAUUGGAUCCUGACUGAUAUGCUUUUGCCCUUGACUUUGUUGAUGAAAACCAGGUGGUUGUGGUUGUGUGUUUCUACUUAGUCCAUUCAACGCUGGAGCAUUUCGAUUCUGAUUGCUCCAUGAGAAAUUUGGGUGUUGUUUCCAACCUGGGUUGUAAGUAUUUGAAUAUGAGUUGUUCUGAGGUUGUCGAUUGAAGUUACCCACAUAAUUUACUAAGGCUGGAUUUCCAGGACAAUUAUCAAAAUCAUGUUCUUCACCACAGUAGACACAAGAAAGUUCAGUAACUUGCUUUACUGUUGUUGGAGCAUUUGUCAGGGCUUUUACCAUGUUAGUCAAUGAAGUUACUUGAGCUGACAAGGCUGUAAUUGCAUCAAUGCUAUGUACCCCUGCUGAUCCUCUUGCUGCUGGUUGCCUGGCUGAAGGCCACCGGUAAUUAUUAUUGGCAAUUCUUUCUAAAAUUUCAUAAGCUUCAGUGUAGGAUUUGGAUAACAGAGCUCCAUUUGCUGCAGCAUCCACCAUUAACCUUGUACUCGGAUUCAACCCAUUAUAAAAAGUUUCCAAUUGAAUGCAAUAAGGAAUACCAUGAUGAGGACACCUUCUGAGCAAGUCCUUGAACCUUUCCCAAGCCUCGUAUAAACUCUCAUCCUCAAGUUGAUGGAAAGAGGUAAUCUCAUUUCGUAAUUUUGCAUUCUUUGUCGAUGGGAAAUAUUUCAUUAGGAAUUUAUCAGCUAAUUCAUUUCAUGUAGUGAUGGAAUAAGAUGGUAAUGAAUUUAACCAUGCCCUUGCUCGAUCUCUUAAGGAAUAAAGGAAUAACCUCAGCCUUAAGGCAUCUUGUGUUGCUUCAGCAAUCUUGAAAGCAUCACUUACUUCCAAGAACAAUUUAAGAUGGAGAUGAGGAUAUUCACUUGGCAAUCCAUUGAAUUACCCAACUGUUUGCAACAUUUGAAACAUCACUAGUUUUAACUCAAAGUUGACAGCGUCUACUUCAGGUUUGAUGAUGCCAGGAUGGAUAACUUAAGGAGUUAGCACAGCAUAAUCUCUUAUAGCUCUGUCUCUGUCAUCAGCCAUGUAAAUAAUAUUGUUAUUGCCUGGCUGUCUCCCGUUAACAUGUUCAUUCUACUCUUCUUGAAUGUUGGCUGGUUGUAAAGACCCGUGAGGGUCAAAUUUCCCUCAUCUUGUAAAUUAUUCAUGCCUGAAACAGUCUUUGAAUUUCUUUGUUCUCUUCGCAAUCUCCUGAUAGUCCUUUCAAUCUCAGGAUCGAAUUGGAAUACUACAGGUUUGUCCUUGCGCAUGCACGUACUGAUCUGUCAAUCAAUAGAAUGAAUCAAGUCAAAUUUGGCGCUAUCACGAUUUACUUCACACUUCAAAAAUAAAAAAUCAAUCCCCGGCAACGGCGCCAAAAACUUGUUGGUUGAUUUAUAUAAUCAAUCACUAUUAAUGCCAAUGUGCAAGUAUACACAACAAAUAAUAAAGUGAUGAGUAUUUUAGAUCGUUUCCACAAGGAUUGAUGUUUCUCAAAAUGUUAAAGCAAUCACAAUAGUGCAAUCAACUAAAGGUCGAAACAAACAAUUGUCAAACAAGUCUAUCAUAAUUAUUAAUGAGGGAAGGGUGGUGGAUGUCUAAACUGCUGGUUAGAUUCAGGAGGUACCAAACUAUGUUUGUUUAAGUUGGUGCAGGUUAUGGCUACUGGUGUUGCAACUUCUUUUUCAGCAAGAUCUGGUUGAAUUUCUUCUGCAGUUGCUGUAGCUUAGCCCCUUACAUCAGUGUCUUGAUGGGGAGUCUGCUGUAACAUGCUUCCCUUUUGAGUUGGUUUUUGAGCUGAAUUGCAUUCCAUCCUAUUUUUUGUCACUUCAACUGUGAUAUCAACAUUCUUUUCAGAUCUCAAACUAAUUACUUUGCAGUGUUCUUUGCUUUCUCUCCUAGGGUCUUCUGUGUUGCUAGGUAGGCUUCCUUGAGUUCUGUUGCUCAUUGCUGUAGCUAAUUGUCCCAUUUGGUUCUCAAGGUUUCUCAAGGACACAGCUUGACUCUGCACAAUUGCUUCAUUCUUUGCAAUGUACUCCUUGAUUAGUGCUUCCAAUGAAGUGAUUGGAUCCUGACUGAUAUGCUUUUGCCCUUGACUUUGUUGAUGAAAACCAGGUGGUUGUGGUUGUGUGUUUCUACUUAGUCCAUUCAACGCUGGAGCAUUUCGAUUCUGAUUGCUCCAUGAGAAAUUUGGGUGUUGUUUCCAACCUGGGUUGUAAGUAUUUGAAUAUGAGUUGUUCUGAGGUUGUCGAUUGAAGUUACCCACAUAAUUUACUAAGGCUGGAUUUCCAGGACAAUUAUCAAAAUCAUGUUCUUCACCACAGUAGACACAAGAAAGUUCAGUAACUUGCUUUACUGUUGUUGGAGCAUUUGUCAGGGCUUUUACCAUGUUAGUCAAUGAAGUUACUUGAGCUGACAAGGCUGUAAUUGCAUCAAUGCUAUGUACCCCUGCUGAUCCUCUUGCUGCUGGUUGCCUGGCUGAAGGCCACCGGUAAUUAUUAUUGGCAAUUCUUUCUAAAAUUUCAUAAGCUUCAGUGUAGGAUUUGGAUAACAGAGCUCCAUUUGCUGCAGCAUCCACCAUUAACCUUGUACUCGGAUUCAACCCAUUAUAAAAAGUUUCCAAUUGAAUGCAAUAAGGAAUACCAUGAUGAGGACACCUUCUGAGCAAGUCCUUGAACCUUUCCCAAGCCUCGUAUAAACUCUCAUCCUCAAGUUGAUGGAAAGAGGUAAUCUCAUUUCGUAAUUUUGCAUUCUUUGUCGAUGGGAAAUAUUUCAUUAGGAAUUUAUCAGCUAAUUCAUUUCAUGUAGUGAUGGAAUAAGAUGGUAAUGAAUUUAACCAUGCCCUUGCUCGAUCUCUUAAGGAAUAAAGGAAUAACCUCAGCCUUAAGGCAUCUUGUGUUGCUUCAGCAAUCUUGAAAGCAUCACUUACUUCCAAGAACAAUUUAAGAUGGAGAUGAGGAUAUUCACUUGGCAAUCCAUUGAAUUACCCAACUGUUUGCAACAUUUGAAACAUCACUAGUUUUAACUCAAAGUUGACAGCGUCUACUUCAGGUUUGAUGAUGCCAGGAUGGAUAACUUAAGGAGUUAGCACAGCAUAAUCUCUUAUAGCUCUGUCUCUGUCAUCAGCCAUGUAAAUAAUAUUGUUAUUGCCUGGCUGUCUCCCGUUAACAUGUUCAUUCUACUCUUCUUGAAUGUUGGCUGGUUGUAAAGACCCGUGAGGGUCAAAUUUCCCUCAUCUUGUAAAUUAUUCAUGCCUGAAACAGUCUUUGAAUUUCUUUGUUCUCUUCGCAAUCUCCUGAUAGUCCUUUCAAUCUCAGGAUCGAAUUGGAAUACUACAGGUUUGUCCUUGCGCAUGCACGUACUGAUCUGUCAAUCAAUAGAAUGAAUCAAGUCAAAUUUGGCGCUAUCACGAUUUACUUCACACUUCAAAAAUAAAAAAUCAAUCCCCGGCAACGGCGCCAAAAACUUGUUGGUUGAUUUAUAUAAUCAAUCACUAUUAAUGCCAAUGUGCAAGUAUACACAACAAAUAAUAAAGUGAUGAGUAUUUUAGAUCGUUUCCACAAGGAUUGAUGUUUCUCAAAAUGUUAAAGCAAUCACAAUAGUGCAAUCAACUAAAGGUCGAAACAAACAAUUGUCAAACAAGUCUAUCAUAAUUAUUAAUCGUGAGAGAUGGAAAUAAAAAAAUAUUGUAAUGAAAUAAACUAAGUAAAAGGUAUCUAAGAUUCAAUUGAGAAUAUAGUAGUUGAAUGAUCAAACUUUUCUAAUGGGGUGACUGUUGUUGACCGAAUUAGCACCAGUUGUUACAAUAAGUACUGCAGCAAUGGGUAGAAUAAAUCUGCAUCCAUCCUAUUUUUUGUCACUUCAACUGUGAUAUCAACAUUCUUUUCAGAUCUCAAACUAAUUACUUUGCAGUGUUCUUUGCUUUCUCUCCUAGGGUCUUCUGUGUUGCUAGGUAGGCUUCCUUGAGUUCUGUUGCUCAUUGCUGUAGCUAAUUGUCCCAUUUGGUUCUCAAGGUUUCUCAAGGACACAGCUUGACUCUGCACAAUUGCUUCAUUCUUUGCAAUGUACUCCUUGAUUAGUGCUUCCAAUGAAGUGAUUGGAUCCUGACUGAUAUGCUUUUGCCCUUGACUUUGUUGAUGAAAACCAGGUGGUUGUGGUUGUGUGUUUCUACUUAGUCCAUUCAACGCUGGAGCAUUUCGAUUCUGAUUGCUCCAUGAGAAAUUUGGGUGUUGUUUCCAACCUGGGUUGUAAGUAUUUGAAUAUGAGUUGUUCUGAGGUUGUCGAUUGAAGUUACCCACAUAAUUUACUAAGGCUGGAUUUCCAGGACAAUUAUCAAAAUCAUGUUCUUCACCACAGUAGACACAAGAAAGUUCAGUAACUUGCUUUACUGUUGUUGGAGCAUUUGUCAGGGCUUUUACCAUGUUAGUCAAUGAAGUUACUUGAGCUGACAAGGCUGUAAUUGCAUCAAUGCUAUGUACCCCUGCUGAUCCAUGAGAAAAGUAAACUUAAAUAUACUGAUCACAGAAUACAUCCAAACAAUUUCAAGGAAGAAAGAUAAUAUGAGUUGAGCAAGACUAGUGGAUCUCCUCGAUUCUUCAAUGAUGCCGAACAGUCCUCCUAAAUCUUGAUCUUCUUCUUCUUCUUGCCUUUUUAACUACUUGGAUGGUAAUCUCUCCGCCGCUUUCUAUGUGGUGCAUGCCUCCUUUAUAUAUUGCAAAUUAGGUUAAAACCAAAGCCCAUGAGCGUGCAUGUGUUUAAAUUAAAAAACAUGCAGAUCGUGAUUUUAUUGCUGACCCGCGCCUAAAUUUCUCCCGCGUUGCUCCCAGAUUGCUACAGCACUGGUUGCUCUAACAUCCGCAACAGCACUGUAUUAUUCCCGAUUGUGCUUUUCUUCUUUUGUGGCCAGAAUGGACCUAGGUCAUUCUUUAUUGAAUCACGCUUUUGGUUUUUUUCUCGUGUCUUGCAUUUAGACACUUCAAUUAGAAUUGUUAGUAUCUUGGCUGUUCUUAUAGAGAACAUGCCUGAGUUAUUUUAUAUAAAAUAAUUUCAUUGGGCCUAUAUUUUUUGUGGGUUUGGGCCUUUCAUAUUUUGGUCUGACAAUAUAUAAAGCCAAAAAUCUAACACUCAUCAAACUGGCUUCUGAACAAUUAAUCUUCCUCGCCAUCAUACAUGCCAGGUGUAGUGAACAAUCUUCAUUCUAACAUUUGCCUUAAUAAGCUGCUUAGCAUCCUUAACCUGAUAAAUUGCACAAACAAAAACAACUUUACUAAAGUUUAUUCUUUAAAGGCAUAGCAGUAAAGAAGAUGAUAUCUGUUUAUGCUAAAAAUUGACCUGAGUUAUCCGAAUGUCAAGAAUCACAGCGUCUCAUGUGGGCAAAAUCAUCGCAAUACAACAUGCUGAUUUCAAGCAACAUCUUAUCACCUGUAAUUUAAUUAAGACAAUAACUUUCCUCAACCAUUACCCUACUCAAUUUCAAUGUAUUAUUGGCAACUAAAUUCAUAGGGUAAUCUAACAAAUAUGGUGAAUAAAGAAUAUUUCUCCAAAUAUUCUUAAUAUUUAUGGCAUCAAAAUUUGGCUACAAAGCUGGCUGGAAAAGGCUUUAAAUUCUUAAUGAGGGCAUGAAUUCGAACAAACAUGGUGAAUAAAGAAACAAAGGCAUAAUACCGCAAGAAGUAAACCUUUUCCUCAAACCUCUGUUUCUGUUUGUGCUCAAACCAAUGGAAACCGAUGGAAAUGAAUUUCUAUGAAUUAGACACAUCAGCCAAAACAGGUACUCUAUACAAAGAAAGUAAAAGAGAGUCAUAGAAAAAUUUUAAGAUAAUUAAACUUUUAGUCACCAUAUCAUUAAUAGAAACUUUGUACACUACGAUCUAUUGCAGAUUAAGAUUUGUAUACCUAAGUUUUAAUUGCAAACUAAAUAUACACAACAUUAUACCAGCAUUAGGAGGCCGUACCAAAAUGUACCGAAUUUAGUGUGCCUCUUCACAGCCAUUGUACAAGCAUCGAAGACUUUACCGCGAAAGCUGUUUCAAACGUGAUGCACGUUAGAGAUGCAAGAUAUGAAAUUGUCAUUACAAGAAGCAUUGAAACAUGUGUGAAAACUGUUUAUGGACCUAAAAUAACUUGAAAAUCAGAAAGAUUAGGAAUAAGUGACUUAAGCAUUUUAAUUACAACUGAGCAUACAAACCUUGAAAAUCCAAAAUUGUACUCCGAUGAAUGAGCAAUUGCACGAGCAGCUAAAUUUACUGCAAAGGCUCUUACUACCCUUGAAGAUGAUACUCUACAUACCUACACAAAGAAACACACUGAAUAUGAAGGGUAUUCUGACAAUGCAAAUUUGUGCAAAUUAUCAACUCUGGUUACCUGCAUAAUAGUGCCAACAUCGAAUUGCUUCGUCAAUUGAAAUAUAUGAUCAGCCCAAUGAUGCUUUGCUUUGAGGCUUUUGAGAACCUGAAAUGGUUAUUACAACCAACAGUGAAAAUUAGGUGAAGAAGUGAUAAUACUAGCAUAAUUCCAUAUGCUUAUAGAGGAUAAACCGAUCAAAGAAAGAAACAAGAUAGAAAUGAUGAUCUCAGCACCUUAAUAUCAUGCAAUAAUAAUCAUCAUGUCUUCCAGGCAGCUAUCCAUCCUCAACUGAAACAGAGCAGACCCAGCCAUCACUUAGUUUUCAACAUUACUACAAAGUACCCCAGAAAUUGUUUCUCUCAAGAAGUUUCACGUAACAAAUUAUCGUACACUGAAGUAAAUAGUUAUAUUCAAUACAAAAAUCAAAAUAUUAGAAAAUAUUGCACAUUCCUAUGAGACAUUGGCAAAAUAUAGAAAUUUAAUUCAAAAUAGAAUUAUUAUCAUUAUUAUUAUUAAUUUCAUUACAAGUAACAAUGAAGCAAAACAGAGGAGGAGGAGAAAUUACCGGCAGGUUAUAGUAAUUGCAACCGUUCGAGAAUUUAAAACUCGAUGUGGGGAAUGUGAGAUAUCUUAUGCCAGUCUUCUAGAAUAGGACAUCCCCUAAUACUCAAUUCCUGCAGUGUCGACGUUUGAAGAAGGUCAUCUGGCAGCACAUUUAAUUUGGAGCAGCAAUCAAUUUCCAAGGAAGAAAGACGCGGCAUGAUGGAGAUGUUUUCCUUCCUCGUAACCCUAUAAUCCCACUCUUCCAAUUCUUCCAUGUCCCAAAUUUUGAGUGAUUUCAAUUUGGGGAAGGCAAUAACUGAUGAUGAUGAUGAUGAUGAAGACGGGUCAUCAUCACUACUUUCCUCUAUUCCCAAAACCUCAUUACCCACUCUUUUUACACUAUUUAAAUUUUGUAGGGCGAGUUUUUCCAGAGGCAAUUUUCCCAGAGGCAAAUGCUCACAGUUAAGACACCCGCGAAGAAAUAAAUUCCUUAGAUCGGUUAGCAAAGUCAACCAUUUGGGAAAAAUGUUGCCUCCAUAUAAUAAAAUCCAUAAUUCCUCUACAUUCAAAGGCGGCUGUAAGGCUUCAAGAAGUUGUUCAUCUUUCUCAUUCUUCCUCCUCCUUUCUUCAUCUUCCCCAUUUACAACUUCACCUCCUUCUUCUUCUUCAUAUCCCGCAUCCUCACCUUUAUCUUCCCCACCUUCAUCUUCAUCCUCUUCUUUAUCUUCCCAAUCUACAACUUCAAAUAAAAGAUACAAACGAAGGAGGUUUUCUAUAUUUUUGAGUUCUAAUCUCUUAGCCUCAUCUACAUGUGACAAAUUAGUCAGCCCUUCUAUUCUACAUUCUCGAAGGAGUUGAAGAUUUUGUUGGAAAAAUAUGCUCUUUAAAAGCAUAUGUGUUUAUUUAAUUGUAAUAAACAUUUUUUCUGAUUAAUAAAAAUAAUGAGGUAUUUUAUACAAAUAUCUUAAUUGCAUUAAUAUUUUUAUUAAAGUCCAUUUAAUCAUAUUAUAUGUAUUUAUGUGAUCACCAUGUGGAUUCACAGAAGACAUAAAUAUAAGUUAUCUUAUGAUUAAAUAAAUUUAGUUCGCAGUUGAUAAAUAAAGUUGGGCACUGUAUUUAGGUAUAGACUGUAAUAAAUUCAUUGAAUGAUUUGUCUUAAUCAUGUAUGAAUUUAUUAAUGUAGUAGGACUACAUUGAAUAGGAUCACAUGGCCAGAGUGUAUCAACAUAUUUAGUAUGUUGAAAAUAAUCAUUAGAGAAAACCAGUAAGUAUCAAGGAACAAGAUAUAAUUAAAUUGAUCGGACAGUUGAGAUAUCGAUUUAAUUAAUGAUGUGGUACAAAGGAUUGUGCAGUAAAGAAAUCAAUGUGGCUUGGGACGAAUUAUUAUUUGAGCAUACAAUUAUGGAAGUCAGUUCCAAUCUUUUAGUGGAGUAGAUUUGGAAUUAAAUAAUUAGGCUAGUUUAAUUACAGGCCUAAUUGUUAUAGCCACUAUUNNNNNNNNNNNNNNNNNNNNNNNNNNNNNNNNNNNNNNNNNNNNNNNNNNNNNNNNNNNNNNNNNNNNNNNNNNNNNNNNNNNNNNNNNNNNNNNNNNNNNNNNNNNNNNNNNNNNNNNNNNNNNNNNNNNNNNNNNNNNNNNNNNNNNNNNNNNNNNNNNNNNNNNNNNNNNNNNNNNNNNNNNNNNNNNNNNNNNNNNNNNNNNNNNNNNNNNNNNNNNNNNNNNNNNNNNNNNNNNNNNNNNNUAAUAAGUAAGAUAACUAGCUAUUUGGGUCAAAAGCCUAAACAUAUCAUUUAGUGGGAGGCUCCAUUUAAUUAGCUUUUGUGUAAGGAGCCUUAUGUUAUUUUACAAGGUGGGUCCCCUGCAGAAAAAGCAAAUAACGUGAGUUUUGUUUUUUGAUUAUUUGGAGCCUAGGGUUUUCACUAAAGGGUGAUAUAAAAGGCUUAUUUUCUCUAAAGAAAAAAGAGCAGCCACUUUAUACAGAUCAGAGAAAAAGAUUUUUCUCUCUAUUGUUGAGAGAAAAAUUUUCUCGUGCUAGUUGCUUUGGUAGUGAUAAAGGCACCCACACGUCAAGUGCAGAUCGAACCUGAGUUAUAACUUGGAAGAUCAUUGGUGACAGUUCGUGAUCUAACAAGCGUGGUGGUGACGGAUCGUGAUCUAACAGGAGUGGUGGUGGCAGAUCGUGAUCUAACAGGAGUGGUGGUGGCGGAUCGUGAUCUAGGAUCCUAAAUCACUUCAGCGGAAAAAAACCAACUCGGAUUUUCAAGGUACGAUUUCUAGAAUACAAAUUCUUAUAUAUUAUAUAAGAGCGGUCCUUAAAAAGUUUUAUAAAAAUUUAAAAACCUGAUUUUUCCCCAACAGAUUUUUCAGACAUUCAAGCCUACACGUACUGCCACCAUCAACACCUCCACCCACAACAAACUUGUCUAAUGUUUGAAGAUUGGUUAAUUUGGAAAUCCCUAUUGGCAUGUACUUCAACGAACAAGUAAGACCAUUUAGCAAACUCCUCAUGUUCUUUAACUUCCCAAUCCCUACAGGCAAUUCUCUUAUAUUUCGGCACCCCCUAAUAUCUAGCUUUUGCAAAUUAUAUAAUUCACACAAAGUCUCAGGCAGUCUCUCUAUGUGUAAUUCAGACAAAUGAAGAUAUUUUAAAUGCAUCAAUUUUCCGACAUCUUUUGGAAUUUCUCUAAUCAAAUUUGGGUCAGGACGAAAAAGCAAGAACGAUUGCCUUAUAACUAAUGCUCUUAAACACGCCAAUUUACUAAAUAACUCAGGAAGGAUGCUACUAUCAAGAGACGAAUUGGAAGGACUUUCAUCAUCAAUUAGGAGGGUACGCAAUCUAUUAAGUCCAUGAAUGGACAUAGGAAAUGAAGUGCCUCCUUUAAAAUUUAACCCUAAGGGACGGACUUUCCCACCAAAAGAGUUUAUGAUUGAUUCUUUGGUACCAUUAAUUUCUAGCCACAAACAUUCUUUGCUACUUACAAAUUGAGCAAAAUCAUGUACUAUGUCAUGCAUCUUGCAACUCAUAAUAUCAUCAUCAUCAUUUUUCUCAAACUCUUGAAAGAAAGAGCGUGUUGCUGAAAUAUUGAAACACUCUUCCCCAGUCAUCUCCAUCUCUUCAUAUUCUUCUGCAUUAAGGUAACCUUGAGCCAUCCAUAGUGAAAUUAGCUCCUCUUUAUACAUAUUGUAGUCUUUCGAAAAGACAGCACAAAAUUAAAAAUAUUGUUUUACCAUAGAAUUGGACAACAAAUCAUUAUAACUCAACAAUAAAGGAGUCAAAAGACCUUUCCCAAUCUCUUCUACCUUCCACAUUUCACUAUCUAAAAUUCUUUGCCAGUCGUUUAUUGCACUUUUAGAACGCAAGAGAUUUAUUAUUACCUUUGCAGCAAGAGGCACGCCUUUACACUAAAAUACUAACUAGGCAACCCAAGAGGGGGGGUUAAUUGGGAUUUUAAAAAUUAUCCUAGGCAAACCACACAACAAUUUAAUCUAAUGCCUUAAUAAAUUCGAAAACAAUAAAUUUAAUAAAAGCACAAUAAUAAAUGAGUAAGGGAAGAGAAAGCAAACUCAAGGAUUUUUACGUGGUUCGGCAAUCCCCGCCUACGUCCACGCCUCCAAGCACACCGGGCUUGAGGAUUUCACUAAGCUAGCCUCCCAAGGCUUCAAACGCUUACAAUUGACUUCAAGGUGUCA